CAGGCCUCUUUGGGAUAAUAUUGAGGAAUUUGGUCUCAAUUGCACCUUGCCAUGGUUGGCUUUAGGGGAUUUUAACAAUGUGCUCAAUUUUGAUGAGAAAAGUAAUGGGGCGGAUGUCACUCCGUAUGAGAUUAAAGAUUUUGAAAUGUGUUGCCAAAAUGUUGGACUUACGGAUAUGCGGUCAAUUGGUUGUUUCUACACUUGGAACAAUAAUUCUGUUUGGAGCAAAAUUGAUAGAGCCAUGGUAAAUGGAAAUUGGAUGCUUGAGAGUUAUGACAGUUUUGCAAACUUCCUUCCAUCGGGUUGCCUCUCCGACCACUCACCUUGCAUUGUGUCAAUUUUUGGGGAAGUUGAAAGGAAGAAAAGGCCAUUUAAAUUUUUUAACAUGUGGACAUGCCAUGAGGACUUUCAUGAUGUGGUAUCAAAUGGCCGAAUCAAGUUUUUUUUGGUUCUAAACAAUUCUCACUUUGUAAGAAAUUACAGAGUCUUAAAGGGGUGCUAAAAAAACUCAACGACAAGCACUUUGCUCACAUUUCCUCUAGGGCUGAUUAUGCUACUAAAAAGUUGGAACUGGCACAAGUUGAAUUACAUAAUGAUCAGAUAAAUCUUCAACUAAAGUCUGAGGUUGCUAGAUUGAGGAAGGAGGCUACUAUGCUAUGUGAAGCGGAAAGGAAUUUUUAUUACCAACAAGCAAAGUGUGUUCAUUUGAAGAAUAGUGAUAAAUGCACCAAGUAUUUCCACUCUUUGGUUAAGAGAAAUGCCAAGAGGAACUUCAUUCCGGCAGUUAUCAAGAGGGAUGGUAAUUACUCUACUUCCCAAGAAGAGGUGGCGACGGAAUUCACUCACUUUUAUAGUGAAUUAUUGGGACAAAGCGGGUGUGGACAGCAUUUUAAUGAUGAAAUUCUAAGUAACGGUCCUAAAUUGUCGGGGGAAAAUGCCAUGUUGCUUGUCCGGGACAUCACGAGACAAGAGAUUAAAGAUGCCCUCUUUAGUAUUGGGGAUGACAAAUCACCCGGUCCGGAUGGUUACACAUCUUGUUUUUUUAAAAAAUCAUGGGAUAUUGUUGGAAAUGAUUUCUUGGAGGCAAUUGAAGAAUUCCUUGCAACGGGGUCUCUACUCAAGCAAACCAAUCACACUAUCAUUGCUUUGGUACCAAAGGGUAAUCAUUCUACUUCUGUUGAGGAUUAUAGGCCAAUUAGGGGGAAAAUGCCAUGUUGCUUGUCUGGGACAUCACGAGACAAGAGAUUAAAGAUGCCCUCUUUAGUAUUGGGGAUGACAAAUCACCCGGUCCGGAUGGUUACACAUCUUGUUUUUUUUAAAAAUCAUGGGAUAUUGUUGGAAAUGAUUUCUUGGAGGCAAUUGAAGAAUUCUUUGCAACGGGGUCUCUACUCAAGCAAACCAAUCACACUAUCAUUGCUUUGAUACCAAAGGGUAAUCAUUCUACUUCUGUUGAGGAUUAUAGGCCAAUUGCUUGUUGCAAUGUUUUUUAUAAAGUCAUUACAAAGAUCCUUGCCUCUCGGUUGAAGCCUAUGCUUGAUGUCAUUGUUGACAAAGCACAAACUGCUUUUGUGGAGGGACGAAGUAUGAUUGAGAAUAUUCACUUGGCACAAGAGCUUUUGAGAAAAUACAAUCGCAAGAGAAUUGCUCCUAGAUGCCUUUUCAAAAUUGACCUUAGAAAGGCCUAUGAUUCCAUAAAUUGGAAUUUCCUUGAAAAAGUCAUUGAAGGAUUGGGGUUCCCCGCUACUUUUGUUGGUUGGAUUAUGGAGUGUGUGACAACUCCAUCUUAUUCCAUUGCUCUUAAUGGUAACCUUAAUGGAUUUUUGAAAGGAAAGAAAGGUCUACGCCAAGGUGACCCGUUAUCUCCUUACUUGUUUAUUCUAUGCCUUGAAUACUUCUCUAGAAUGGUUAAUGUGGCUACAAGCGAUAGUGAUUUCAAUUUUCAUCCUAAAUGAGCACACCUAAAGAUUUCACACUUGGCUUUUGCGGAUGAUUUGAUGCUUUUUGCAAGAGGGGAUGUGAUGUCGGUGGAUAUCUUAAUAAAGUGUCUUUCAACUUUUGGUGCCAUGUCGGGUCUCAAUAUAAAUGUUGGGAAAUCUUGUCUCUACACAGCGGGUAUUCAUGGUCAAGAAUUGGAGGAUAUCCUUGCACUAACUAAUCUUCCAGUUGGUACCAUGCCAUUUCAGUAUUUGGGCAUCCCACUUGCGGCUGAAAAACUGAAAGUGAGUUCUUAUGAUUCUUUCACCAAUAAAAUUUCUACUUAUAUUGGUGCAUGGUCGACUUCUUCUUUGUCAUAUGUGGGUAGAGCAGAAUUUGUAAGAGCCGUUCUACAAGGAGUGGAAUGUUUCUGGUUAUCCAUUUUCCCCAUCCCGGCUACGGUUACUUCAAAGAUUAUUAGUCUUUGCCGAAGGUUCCUAUGGGGAUCCAAAAAAUCGUUGGUUGCUUGGAAUCAAAUUUGCCUACCUAAGCAUGAGGGUGGGCUUGGUUUUAGAGAUAUCAAAAGUUGGAAUGCCGCACUCCUUUCUAAAACUCUUUGCAACAUUCAUAGCAAAAAGGAUUGUUUAUGGAUUAAAUGGAUAAAUGAAGUACAUCUUCGAGGCUCGGACAUUUGGAAGUAUAAAGUGAGAAAAGGUGAUUCUCCACUACUUAAAAGGCUUCUGGAAAUAAGAGACAGUAUUGUUGAACCCCAAAAUGAACUUCAAACUAGAAUGGACAAAUUAUUCAGUUGGACAUAAUCUGGGAUUUUUAGCACAAAAACUGCCUAUGAGUUCUUCAGACCGAAGGGAGUUAAAACUGCAUGGGCUACCUCUGUUUGGGAUGGUUCCAUCAUACCUAAACAUGCCUUCAUCCUAUGGUUAGCUGUUCGGGGUAAACUACAGACAAAGGACAGAUUAUGGUAUCUCCAGAUCGACCGAAAGUGCCCAUUCUGUGCACUCACGGAUGAAUCUACCCAGCACCUAUUCUUUUCAUGCCGAUUUUGUAGAGAAGUUUGGGAUCAUAUCCGGGAUUGGUUGGCUAUUCGGCGUAGCAUGUCCACCUUGUUGAGCUCAUUAAAAUGGAUGAAAAAGGAAGCUCGAGGUAAGAGUUGGCCUAGUAGAGCAAAACGUAUUGCACUUGCAACAACCGUGUACUACAUUUGGAUGGAAAGGAAUAAAUGUAUUUUUGAAGGUAUCAAGCCGCAAGUUGAAUCCAUUGUUAGACGAAUUAAAACAUACAUAUACAAAGCGAUGUUUACUUUGUAUCCGUAUGUUUUGAUUCACUUCGAAUCUUUACUUGCAGGGCUUUAAACCUUUGUUGGCACAUCUCUUUUCAUUUGCUCGCUCCCGGGUAUGCCCGGAGUAAUUGCAUGUGUUAUUGACUUUUGAUUUGCCCGGGUAUGCCCGGUGUACUUGUAUAUGGAACAUUUUUGAUCAAUGAUAUUUUGAUUUACCGAUCAAAAAAAAAAAAAAAAGGUUUGGCAUCUACCCACUUAGUAGAGUAAUCUAUGAUGACAAUAGUGUAGCACACACUACUUUUUCUUUUGGCUAAACACAAUUAGGAGCUCAUUGAAGGACUGCCUCUGCAUCGUUGCGAAGCAUUGGCAUUUAUCGCACUUGCACACAAGUUGAAAGGCAUCAUUUUGUCAAGUAUAACAGUAAUAUUCCUACUUAAAUACCUUUUAUGUAAGUGCAAGUCCUACAAUAUGAUUAUUACAUACACUUUUAUAAACUUUCCUGAUAAUGUACGUUGCCUCUUCUUCUCCUGUGCAUCGAAUGAAAGAUGAUGAGAAGCCUAUCUUGUAUAGGACUUCGUCUUGGAGAAUAAAAUGUAGUGUUAUCCUUCUAAGUGUGUAUGUUUCAUCCUUAUUAUCAGGGAGGAUCUAAUCUUUUAGGAAGACUAUGAGGGUACUUCAACCCACCUCACCACCUCUUCCAUGGAUAUGGGUGGCCUAGAGAGUUGUUCAAUUUGCACCAUCUUGAACAGCUAGAAAUCUUUGCUUUUGGCCAUCUUGAAAUCUUUACUGUUGAUCAGCUUGGUAAUGCAUCAAAAUGGACAUUUUACCUCUCCAGAUGAACCACAUGAGGAGGCUCCAAAUUGGUAGCUUAAUGGUUCCAUCUUCGCCUCUAUCUCAGGGGCAUUAAAAUACUUCGCAACAAAGUCUACAAGGCUUUAACUCUUAUGGAGGUUAUUGAAUUGAAGAUAAUGUCAAAGUCACUCAGUCGUAAAAAAUAUUUCAUCAACCUAACAAAAACGUAGCUUUUGAAGCACAUGAUUGAGUACGAGCUUCUUCAUUUCAGGGUACUGAGCCUUCGCUUAUAGAAAGGCUUUGCUCACUCACACAGUAUAUGGCAGUUGGUGGUUGCUUUCUUGUCUUACAUGAACUAAGUUGAUUACUUUUUUAGAUAGAGCCAAAUUAUAGUUGUAGGGGCCCAUGAACAUUUUGGAUAGGAAAGAGAGAGGCCCUAGCCUACGUACUUUCCAAUUCUUGGAAAGCUUAUCCAUACUCUUCUAUCCAUUGAAAUUUCUCCUUUCCUUUAAGGACUUUAAAGAAGAGAAGGCAUUUGCCCGUGGAUUUUGAGACAAAGCGACUCAGGGUCUGCCACCUGUCUACUGAGGCUCUGUACCCCUUUUGGAGCAAGCUUGAUUAUGAUUGCAAAAGUUUGUGUAAACUCUCCACUUGCCAUUAUGCUUUUUCGUGAAAUCUGUAUUGGAGAUCCACCUCGGAUAUUAGAUUUUCCUAUUGAAGCCAUUGGUUAUAAGCUUCUCAACCUCUUCAUUUAGCUUUGUUUAUCUUAAGGUUGUAACAGCUCACCUUUUCGUCUAUUCCCACGAUAUCUUUAUGGUUUCGAGAAGAGAUAUCUAAGUUUUACAUAGUAAACUUUUGAGCUUCUCAUUUACAUUUUGUCGCAGUUUCUUCUCGACUUGUAGUGACUUCGUAGGAUCUUGAGAAUCCACGAAGAACUCUCCAGCUCUUUCAUUAGGCUGCUUGUGAAUCAGACUUAGUGAUUGAGGGUCUAAUUCAUCAUAUAUGACCUCUUCAACAAGGGCUUAUAUCAUCUCGGUGUUUUCCCAUUUUUAGUAAUCUGUCCUUUUCAAAGAACAUUGAUCAUUUUGGUAUCGAUCAUCAUCGUGUUAAUCUCACAGGGGCUACUUUCCUUAUAGAAUUCAAUUAGCAUUCCUUAGCCUCCCUUUGAUUGCCUCUGACAUUGGUAAUACCGUUCUUCAUAGAGAACUUCAUACAUAAGUGAUAUAUGGAGGUAAUUGCCCAUUGUUCCUUCAAGGAAGUCUUCCCAAGCCCCCAUAGUAGGUUGAUCUGCUAUUAACCACAAGUAGUGUUUUAAAAGCCUAAAGCGUUACUAACCGUGGAUGCCAAACUUUAAGCUUUACGAGCAUAGGUGAGCCUCGACCAUAAAAAAGUGAUUUCUUAUUUAAAUAUUAUUUAAAAAUUUUAUCAUUCAAAAAAUUAUUUAAUGAUUAAAAUAAUACAUAGAAAGCAUCUAAAAUUAUAAAAUACUAUAUUUACUUAAUAAUUUCUACAAUUAGUUAAUUAUACAAUUUUUAAAGGACAAAUUAAAAAUAAAGUCAAAUAAAAGGCUUUUAAUAAUAAUAAUAAUAAUAAUAAUAAUAAUAAUAAUAAUAAUAAUAAUAAUAAUAAUUAAUAUAGCCCACCUAGUUGAGCUUUUUAAACACCGAACACAGGGAAUUCCAUAUAAUGCCUGGCCAUUGGGGACUUCUUCUCCAUCUCUAUUGCAAGAGUAUUUUUUCUCUUAUGGUGAUACUAAAGCCUGUUAACCCGUAGAGUGAGGAGCUCAUCGGGGUCAACUUAUAAUACACUAGCAUUUGAUCAUAAGUGGCUCCAAAGAUGAUGUUGGUGGAACUCUCAUUGUCUAUCAACAUGCACUUCAACCCAUUGUAGGCUACAAUGCCUUUAUUAUCAGGCAUCAAAUUGAGGGAUAGUAUAGUCCUGUUGUAUCCUUUUUAGAGAAGGUGUUUAGCUCAAUGAUAAAGGCAGUAAGAUCGUAGGUUCUUGGGGCCUCCUAACCCUAUUACAUCUAGCCUCCUAUGUGGCUAGUUGAGGAGAAAUGACUCUUUGGUUCCAAUAUAUAGUAGGCCCAGCUUCAUCAAAGGCUAAGGAUGGCACAUCAUUUAAUGUGUCUAUAGGGACAAUGUGGCGCCCUACUUAGUCCAUUGAUGGUUGAUAAAAUGUGGUGUAGAACCUCUGCCUGUUAGGCAGUGGGAGUUCACUUAUUUCCUUGUUUUGGUGGUCUGUGAACUCUUCAUUAACAAUUUCAUCCAUCAUCAUCUAUACUAAUUUGUCAUUUUUAUUGUGAAAGUCCCUCCAGCAUAGUAUGUUUAUAUUGAGGCCUCCUUUUGUGGUAGAAAGAGCUUCCGUAUUGAAUCACUUCUCGCAAUAAAUUAUUUCAUCAAUGAAAUAAGCUAAAUAGCCCUUGCCCUUGAACAUUUCAUCAAUCGUCACCUCGUAUCUUAGAUGUGCUAAACUAGAUCAUUUUCUUCCCUCUUGGAUAGGAAGUUGUUCAAAAGAAUUGCCUCUUAAAAUCUCGCAAACUCCUAAUACUUCUAAAGUGGAGCUUAUCGUGCUACCUAUUGACUUCUCCACAAAGGGCAUGUGAAAAAGCUCUACACUUCAGUAUUGCAUAAGGCCCUCUCAAGCUCAUAUAAGUCGUGCAGGUGUUGAUGUGCGCCUUUAGGUCACCUUUUUCCUUGUAAAUUGGUAUUUUGGAGGCACGAAUUAACUAGAAACGUAGGCAUUUAAAAGUUCUUAGGAGAAUAUGAGGUUGUCAUCGUCAUCAUUCAGUUUAAAGACCUACAUGGCCUAUCCUCGUCUUCAUGAUCACCUUAGUAUAGAGGCAGUUUGAAGUUCACAGUUUGCUACCUUGCAACCUCGGCUGAUCUCCUUUUCUACCAAUUCUUAGACUAAGAAUUAUUUUGUGGCCUAUUCUUAUUCAUUUGCUCUUGAAACUUGAAUGUAGGAGGCUCCUGACGUAGCCCAUUUAUAGGUGCUCCACUAUGCCUUUUUUCCACUCAAGUAAGCUAUGGACCUUCAUUCCUGAAUCAAGAUAGCUCCAAUACCUAUUCCUAACCCAUCACAUUCAAUCUCAAAAUUAUUAUUUAAAGUUAGAUAGUGAUAAAACCGGUGUAGUACACAACUUAUCCUUAAUAUUAGUAAAAGACUUCAACGCCACAAUGACAUACACUUUUCUUUGCAAUCUUCGUAAGCAGUGUGAGGCAAUGUGCUGAAGUUUUUAAAAAAAAUGCCUAUAGAAGUGUAACCUCCCAAAGAUUUUAGAAUAAAAUUUACUUAUUUUAUAUUUUAUAUAUUUACAUUUUUGAAAGUUGAGGACCAAAAUGAAAAAUGUUUUAAAUUUCUAUUUAUUUGUUCCAAAUAAUUAGAUUUUGAUAGAGCGAUAUUUAAUGUAUAUAUAUUAGACUCAUUUUAUAAGUCGUAAUUAAUUAGAAGUCUUUGACUCGUGAAAAAGUUAUUUUGGUUAAGAAGACAUUAAGUUAGAUCCAAUUGAAUAAAAAUAGGAUAAAUAGAAUUUUAUAUAAAUUAUAAAUCAAUUCAUUUUCUCUCUCCAAAAACGUGUAAAGUCUUUAAUGAAUUUUAUUUUUUAGUUUAAUAUUAAUCUAUUUUGAAUUAAAUGUGAUAGCUAGUAUCCUAUUUGGAUAACUAUGAAUUUGUUAUUAAAAUAUAAUCCAAAACUAGGUUUUAUCCAAUAGGGUACGUACAUGUUUUCUAUUAUAACUCAACCACUUUUUAUUACUAUAAAUACUAUACUUGAAUUCCAUAAUUCACACACCAAAAGUUAUACACACGUAAGAGAGAGAGAGAGAGAGAGAGAGAGAGAGAGAGAGAGGAUACUUUUGGUAACUAGAAGACAAAAAACUAUUUUGCAACUCUUAAAUAAACAAGAUAAGAUACUUUAGGUGCAAGUGUUUUUGUUUCCUUAUGCGUUUAUGUUCAAUUAAAAAUACAUGGAUUGCCAGUAGAUAUUCGUUUUCUUUAAAAAGAGAUAUGAAAUCCUACGAAAUUAUAAGGGGACCUAAAAUGGGUGUGUCGCUUGAUCACCGAUAUAUUCCAUAAGAUCAAAUGAUAUAAUGUAUAUAGAAACUGUACGUAUCUUACUGGGUGUUCUCGAAUACCUACUCUUACAAAUUUUUAAAGGUUAGUUCGGGUCGAUUGGAUUUGUGGUAAGGCGGUGAUGCAGGCUACCAAGAGGAUCAUAGUAACAAAGCAAAUUUUUCAUUAAGUUUCUCUGCCUUCAUAAUUAUUUGUUAAUUUAUUUUAAGGCAUGUUUAGUGUUUUUUUUCAGAUACAAUUGCUAUAUAUAAUUUAAAUUUAUGAAUGCCGCAAUUAUUAUUUAUUAAAGAAUUUUAUUUUGAUCUUUUCGCAUGUAAAGUUAACAAAAAAUGAAUUUUUGGUAACGCUAGUGUUAUGAAAAUUUGGGGCGUUACAACUUGGCAUAAGAUUACAGUUUGACUUUUCUGCAGACUUGUUUUUGGGAAAAAAAAUUUAUGGAACAGUUCACAUGAACAGUAAAAAAAAAAUUUUGAAAAAAAAAAAAAAGAAAGAGAGAACGUGAACAUUGAAUUUUAGUGUUCAUGUGAACAGUAACCUAAAAAAUUAUGUCUAUAUAUUUUUUUCUUUAUUUCUCAUAUUUUUGAAAGUUAAGUAUUGUGUUUAAGUCAAUUUUGAAUGAUAGUAGUCUAGAAUUUAAAUUGUUAUGGUUUCAUGACUAUGGUUCUAAUUUCACAUGUAAUAAAUUUUUAUGCGUUUUAACUUUAGCAUUUUGGGAUGUUUUAAAAGUGGACCAAUUUGAAAAUUCAUAUUUUAAGAAAUUUCCCGUUUGAUUUAUUGUUUGAGUUUUGUUGAUUUGCAUAAUUAUAAAAUUGAAAGGCUUUGUCAAAAGACCUAAACUGUCUAAGAAGAUAUUGGAAUUUAAGCAGUCCACCUGUGACCCCAUCCUCAACUGGAAGCCUUUUAAUUGCGCGUUAUUUAAAUCGGCGAGGCAGAAAACAAAAUUUCAAACAUUCUUGUUUUUGUUUUUUUUUUUAAAUAAAAUAAAAUAAUAAAUAAAUAUAUAUACACAUAUAUACGAGGGGCCUAUUUUUUGGAAAUUUUAUUUUGAGAAAAUCCUAUAAAAAAAAGGGGGCCUAUUUUAGGAAACUUUUAUAUAUACAUGAAUUAUAGUUGUUUUUUUUUUUAAACAUUGGGGAAAAAAGAGAGAGAGAAAUAAGUAAAUAAAAAUUAAUUAAUUAAAGUCUUGGACGUUUAUGAGAUUUAUGACAUAAGAAUCACUGGCACGCUACGCUCACUACUUGACCAUUCUCCAAUUGAUCCCAUGUAUGAAAUGUAAUGACAUAUUUAUAGCAUGAUUCAUAUUAUGAAAUGUAUAAGCAUGGUCACCUCGCAUAAUAUAUUUGUCAUUUUUUUUUACAUUUUACUAGAAUAUCGUGUAUGCACUGAGAAUAAAAUAAUAUUGAUAAUGCAAGAUUAAGCAUAAUUAAAAUUAUACUUAUCACAUGAUUAGGAUGACUAGAAAUAGCCCAACAUACCUCCAGCGUGCUGAAAUAGCCAAUUAAGAACUACAUAAAUUAUGAAGUAAGAUGAAAGUGAACUUUUUUUUGAACAUGUUGAAAAUUUCCCUUUUAAGUGGGAACGUGCAAGAUCAUUCGAAUAUAAUGAAGGGGCAGUCCUCUCGAUAUACCACUUUAUAAGCACUAUGCGACCUCAAUGGAGAGACGUGGCUUACUUCGUGAGGGAUAUGAAUUAUGAGUUAUAUUUGGAAAGAAGAUUGGGAUAAGAUUGAUUUUAAAGGAUAUUGUGAGGAUAUCAUAAUUUUAUGGAAUCACAAACAACGAGUACCAACGCCCGAACCCAAACCAAAGCCGGAAGAGGACUUAGAGGAAGAUAUCGAACCAGAGCUGGAAGACCCUGAGCAAUAAAUCCAACCACAAAAUUCCGUUGAUUUGGUUGCAUAUUUCGAGCCAGAGUCAUGCAUUACUUCGGAUGAUGAGAUUCCAUAAAAAGAAGAUCUUUUUUUUUUUUUUUACUCACAAGGAUUAGAAAUAAGUGUUAUUUAUUUACUUAUGAAAAAUUUAAUUGUUUAUUUAUUUAUUUAUUUGAUUUUGAAAACAAGUUACUAUAUGUAAGGAUUUGAAAUUUUAUAUUUUUAAAGUUAUUCAUUAUUACAAAGAUUAUUAAUAAUAUUAGGUUCUUUUAUCAAAUAUUCCUAAAUUAAAAUUUUAUUUGUGUUAAGAAAAUGUCAAAACAACAACAAAAUCAAACUACGAUCAUCAGGGAUUUGCUAAGGGUGGUACAAAAUUUGGGUAGGCAACAAGCACAAGCUGGUCCCCAUGGUGCAAACGCUAACAACAUCAGCUCAAUUGUAGAACAUUUCUGUCGCUACAAAUCCCCAACCUUCGAUGGCAAGGCAGACCCACUAGCAACUGAAGAAUGGAUAAGAGGAAUGGAGCGAAUCUUCAGACAUCUAUCUUGCACUGAUGCUCAAAAGGUGUUAUGCACAGAGUUCAUGUAGGUUAACGCUACAGGCCACUGGUGGAAGUCAGCAUCUCACACUAGAACAGAAGCACAACAACGUGCUUUGACGUGGACACAAUUUAAAGAUGAAGUGAUGGGAAAAUACUUUUCCCAAGCUCUGAGAGAUGAAAAGGAGACAGAAUUCCUUCAACUUAAACAGGGAAAAAUGAAGCUUAAGGAUUAUCAGAGAAAAUUCGAACAACUCUCUAGGUAUACACCACGCCUAAUGGACACUAAAGCAAAGAAAGCAAGGAGGUUUGAGCUAGGAUUGCGUACUGAGAUUGGUGGAAUACUGGCAUCCCACCAAUUUACCACCUAUAGCUAAGUAUUGCAGACUGUCCAAGCAAUCUCAAAUAGGGUGGAAAUUGACCAAACUCCCUAGCAAGGGGCCGACUCUUUAGGAAAGAGGAAAUGGAAUGGAUCCAACGAAGAGAAAGAAGAAGGACCGAACAAGAAAGUUAAUUUUGGAUCAAGUUUUGGACAAGUCAUUCUACCCUGUCCAAAGUGCAACAAAAUACAUAGGGUUGAAUGUUUGUUUAGGAAGCAUGUGUGCUAUCGAUGUGGUAAAACAUGGCAUAUCUCCAAAAACUGCAAAGAAGACCCUUCAAAGAAGAAUGACGAGCCAGAAAAGAAAGAAAAGGCUCGAGUUUUCGCUUUAGCCCAGGACAAGUUGCGGAAGACCUAAAUGCAGGUAAUUUCGAUGACGAAAUUCUUUUAAGGAGGGGAGAUUGUAACCUCUCAAAGAUUUUAGAAUAAAAUUUACUUAUUUUAUAUCUUAUAUAUUUAUAUUUUUGAAAGUUGAGGACUAAAAUGAAAAAUGUUUUAAAUUUCUAUUUUAUUUGUUCCAAAUAAUUAGAUUUUGAUAGAACGAUAUAGACUCAUUUUAUUGGUCGUAAUUAAUUAACAGUAUUUGACUCGAGAAAAAGUUAUUUUGGAUAAAAACACAUUAAGUUAGACCCAAUUGAAAGAAAAUAGGAUAAAUAGAAUUUUAUAUAAAUUAUAAAUCAAUUCAUUUGCUUUCUCCAAAAACGUGUAAAGUGGGUAAUGAAUUUUAAUUUUUAGUUUAUUAUUAAUCUAUUUUGAAUUUGAUGUGAUAGUUAGUAUCCUAUUUGGAUAACUACGAAUUUGUUAUUAAAAUAUAAUCCAAAACUAGGUUCUAUCCAAUAAGAUAUGUACAUGUUUUCUAUUAUAACUCAACCACUUUUUAUUACUAUAAAUACUAUACAUGGAUUUGAUAAUUCACACACCAAAAGUUAUACACACGUACGAGAGAGAGAGAGAGAGAGAGAGAGAGAGGGUACUUUUGGGAACUAGAAGACAAGAAACUAUUAUGUAACUCUUAAAUAAACGAGAGAAGAUACUUUAGGUGUAAGUAUUUUUAUUUCCUUAUGCAUUCAUGUUCAAUUAAAAAUGCAUGGAUUGCUAGUAGAUAUUCGCUUUCUUUCAAAAGAGAUAUGAAAUCCUACGAGAUUGUAAGAAGAUUUAAGAUGAGUGUGUCGUUUGGUCAUCGAUAUACUCCAUAAGAUCAGAUGGUAUAAAAUGUAAUUUUUAUUGUUAUAUAUAUGUAUAUGGAAACUGUACCUAUCUUACUGGGUAUUCUCGAAUACUCGCUCUUACAAAUUUUUACAGGUUAGUUCGGGUCAAUUGGAUUUGUGGUAGGGCGGUGACGCUGCUAAUAGGAUCGUAGUAACAAAGCAAAUUUUUCAUUAAGUUUUUCUGCCUUCAUAAUUAUUUGUUAAUUUAUUUUAAGGUAUGUUUAGUGUUAUUUUCCAUAUACAAUUGCUAUGUUUAAUUUAAAUUUAUGAAUGCCGCAGUUAUUAUUUAUUAAAUAAUUUUAUUUUGAUCUUUUCGCAUGUACUUUAAACAAAAAGUGAAUUUUUGGUAACGCUUCGUGUUAUAAAAAUUUGGACGUUACAAGAAGCUAGCUAAAUCAUGAAAGCUUUACCUCAGUUAUGCUUUUAGGUGUCGACCACUCCUUGAUAGCUUCGAUUUUCUCCUCAUGCACUUCAAUUCCCUUUGCAAUAACAACAUAGCCAAGAAAAACUACUUUUUCAAUGAAAAAUGUAUGCUUAUUAAAGUUAGCGUAAAGUUGUUCUUGUCUUAAAAUCACAAGCACACAUUUCAAAUAUCAUAUAUGCUCAUUUAAAUCUUUACUAUAUACCAAGAUGUCAUCGAAGUACGAAUUUACCUAUAAAUGCACAUAAGAGAUGAUUCAUUAAUCUCAUAAAUGUGCUAAGUAUAUUAAUAAGUCCAAAUAGCAUGACUAACCACUCAUAUGAAUCAUAUAUUAGUUUUGAAAGCAGUUUGCUAUGCAUCCACUUGUCUCACCCUGAUUUGAUGAUAGACUUUUAAGAUCUAUUUUAGUAAACAUGCACAAUCCAUGUAAUUCAUCUAACAUAUAAUCUAACAUAGGUAUAUGAUGAUGAUAUUUUACGAUUAUGCUAUCGACAGUCUACACGCAUCCUCCAAGUUCCAUCUUUCUUUGGCUCGAGUAGCACUUGAAAGGCCCAUGGAAAUAUACUUUCCCUCAUGUACCAUUUGCUCAUUAAUUUUUUCAUAUGCCUUUGAAGUUCCUUAGUCUCCUUGGGAUUACUCCUAUAAGCUGGUUUGUUUGGAAUGACAGCUCGAGCUCGAGGUACGAAAUUAAUUUGAUGCUCAAUGCCUCAAAUGGAUGGUAACCUACUAAGUACGUCCUCCAAAAAUAGGUCUUUUAAUUCCAGCAACAAAGAAGUAGCCAAAAUUGGGAUGGUGUUUUAGAUUCCUCAAAAUUGAGGAAUGAUUCCUUAUAAACUAAAAAUAUCAUAGGUUGGUUCAUAACUACUGUUCUCUUCAACUCACUCUCUUUUACAAAGAAAUUCAGUUUCGACUUUUCUCUCCUCUAAUAAGACUAUUUUUCUUUACUCUCUUAUAGCUCUACUCUUUUUCUCACAAUUAGACACCUCACUUUCUCUCUCUCUUAUUUUCUUGUUGUGAAAGAUCAAUCCCACUCUCCUUUUUAUCUCAAUCUAUUUUCUUCCUUACUUUUCAAUUUGGUUUGAUUUUCGUACAAUUGUGCUGGUGUUAACGGUGUAAUAGUAAUAAAUUUCACACCUUAGUAAAGCUAUACCUAUUUUUGUACCCAUCAUGCAUUAUCUUCCUAUCAUAUUGACAUGGUCUCCCCCACAAAAUGUGUGCAACAUGCAUAAGAACUACAUUACACAUUACAUCAUCAUGAUACAUCCUAAUUGAGAAACUCAACUACACUCAUCUUUUCACCUUAACAUCUCAACAUUUAUUCAACAUUUGCAAUUUGUAAGGCUUAGGAUGUUUUAGCAUGGUUAAUCCCAAUUUCUCAACAAGUGUAGUGCUAGCCACAUUAGUACAAUUACUCUCAUCAAUAAUCAUACUACAUAUCUUGUUGACAUGACAUCUCAUGUGAAAUAUGUUUUUCCUUUGUUUUUCCAAGUCAUCCACUUUGAUUUGAGCACUAAGAGUUUGCCUUGUGACUAAUAGUUCUUCCACUGCAUACUCCACUUUCUCACCAUCACUAGCAUCCUCCAAUUUCGACAUGUCAUCAUAAUUAGCAUCACUAUCACUCACCACUUAUCCAUUAUCUUACAAAAUCAUCGCCCUUUUGUUUGGACAUAGAGAACAAUGUGUCCCGAACCCAAGCACCUAAAGCAUUUGAUAUCUCGAUUCCCAGGGGGUUGGGAAUCCACCUUAGAUGUAGCUUUGGUAUCAACUUCCUCUCUUCCAUUUAGUAGCUUAGUCUUACCCUUUGAAAUAUUUACAUCACCUUUAUUGUUAUCCCACUUCAAUUUCCAUGAAGAGUUAGAACUCGAUGGGUAUGUAUCUAGCUGCUCACUUCCUCUUCAACGUCCGCUCUACCUUCAUAGCUACCUAUAGCAUGUCCUCCAACUCCGCAUAACAUCUAUUUCCUUAUGAUAAUCCUCCACACUCCUAGAUCCCUAAUAGAGGCUUUAUAAUUUUUUAUAAAGAUUCCUAUACUAAUGAUUAAGGACAAACCUCUUCUUCAUGAUAGCUUCAAUUAUCUUUGUGUUUCAAUAAGGUGCUCAUGAUUUAUCUUCCUAGGGGUUACUAUUUGAUCUCACCAAAUGAUAGCAUAAUCAAUAAACUCAGAGACAACAAGUUUUACCUUUUUUACCUCCGAGUAGAUGUGGCAUAAAAUAUGAGCUCUAUCUUUUUCUUCCACUUCAAAUAUGUCUUUGGAUCGUUCCUCUCCUUGAAUGAAGAAAUUGUCAUCUUAAUAUUGCUCAUAUUCCUAUCAACGCCAUCUCCAACAUAAUCUCUAGCCUUCCGAUCAUGCCUACUCCUCUAAUCCUCAUCCUUUCUAUUUCAGCCUCCACUAAUGCAUCAUCAUCUAUCCCACUAGCCAUCUCAUUUUCACCUCCAAUUGUCAAUCUAGGAACUCCUUUAGGUUGUUCCCUACAUAAAUUAGCAAGCAACUUAUCUUACCUCUCCAUCUACGGCUCUUACCUAUCUAUUUUAUCUCACAUAUCUCCAAACAACCUUUUAAAUCGCCUAAUCAUCUCUUCAAUCAUAAUGAAUUUAUUAUUCUUCCUGCUUGAAAUAGAAUUGUCUAUGUUUGACAUCCUAAAUCUAGAAUAAUGUUUGUUUCACAUGUGUACAUUUGUGUAUCCCUCAACCUAUCUUUUUCCCUCUAUUAGUCUUACCUCUCUACCUUUUUCCAUUCAAUGCUUCUUUGCAAACGUAGAACUAACUCGAUCUCAAUCAAAUUCUAAUCCUUGUAGAGUUCAAAUAAAGAACUGGGUAAGGAAAACUGACUCUAGAAUAAUUUAAGAAGUGGGAAUUGAUACUCGAAUGGAACACUAAAGAUAAAUUCAAGAUGGUAUUUCUUGAAUUCGAAUUGGACACGUUUAACUUUGGACUCUUUUUUUUUUUUUUUUUUUUUUUUUUUUUUUUUUUUUUUUUUUUUUUUUACUGUUAUAUUUUUUUUUUUUCAAUUUGCAAAAAUUUUUACAAAUCCAGGAGAAUUCUACAAGGAGCUCAAAAAUUCAAAAAGAAAAUUGAUUUGGGCACUAAUUUAGUUCACAAUAACUUUUGAAUUUGAUUGGGACUUUUGGUGAAUUUAAAGACUCAAAAGAUGAAGAACACGAAGAAUGAGGAUAAAAAUUCAAACAAGAAGGAUAUAACCUUAGUUUUUGGAACCUAAGUUCUUAUACCAAAUGAUGUGAACACACGUAACAAUUGAAACUACGAAACCCAAGACUGAUUAGAUAAAACCCAAAAAAACCAAAAAUCAAGGGUUUGAAAAGCUCGACUCGAUAAAUUAUUGAACCAAAGAACCAAGACAAUCAUAAAAAAUAUCUUGACCCUGUGAUCACAAAACUUAUGAACGUUACUUGAAUUGUUGAACACUACAAGAAAUUAAUCCUUGAUAAUUUCGAAAAAUUUAUUAAAUGAAGAAUGAGUUCAAGCAAAAUAUGGCUCGUAAUAAUAUCUCUCAAUUGCGUGUUUUACAAUGAAAAGAAUGAGUCAUAUUUAUAGGUAACUAAUAAAAACCCUAAUUAUAACGAAAUUUAAGUAUAAAAACACCAAAAGAUACCAUAAGAUAAAGUUUUAACUAAAAUAGGAGAUUACGCGAAUUUUGAAAAAUUCACGUCCAAAAUUACGUACAGCUAUAUCUGACUUCUUCAAUUUUCUUUAUCCUGACAUAGUCAUUGGUCAUUCCUCCAUGAUCAGCAUUGACGAUUCCAUUUGAAGAAGCCAACGAAAGUUCAGUAAAUAAGGUGUUCAAUCCUGGUGUAGCUAAAGCCAAUGUUGUAAAACGUGAUUAAACUUCUAAGACCUGUAAAAAAGCCUAGGCAUCCGAUGUAAAAAAGACUAAGUUACGACCUAAAAGGUGGCAUUUCAAAGAAGAAAUUUCAUGGAAAAUGCUUCAACUAUAACAAAGUAUGCUAUAAGUCUUCAGAAUGUAAAUUGCCAAAGAAGAACAAUAAGAUGGAAGCCAAUGUGGUUGACUACAUGACACACGACGUGUCUGAGAUGAAUCUCGCAGUUGUCAUUUCUGAAGUGAAUAUAGUGGGUUCAAACCCAAAUAAGUGGUAGAAUGGCAUUGGAGCUAUGAGGCAUGUGUGCUUUAUAAAGAGCAGUUUACUGCAUUGAAGCAAUUGAGACUAGAGAGAAGUUGUUCAUGGAAAAUUCAACAACUUCUAAAAUCAAGGAUCAAGGAAAGGUAGUUCUAAAGAUGACUUCUAGGAAAAAGUUAUCUCUCAAUAAUAUGUUGUAUGUAUCGAAAAUUCGUAAAAUCUAAUGUUCGAGUUGUUUUUAAAUAAGUAUGGUCUUCGUAUUGUAUUUGAGUUAGACAAAGUCAUUUUGUCUUAAAAUGGAAUGUUUGUAAAGGAUUAUGCUUUCGACGUUAUGUUUAAAUUGAAUGUAAUGGUUGUAAAGACAAAUAUUAAUAAAGUUAAUUCUUCUGCGGGCUUCCCUGAGUCUUCCAGUUUGUGGUCUGGUAGAUUACAACAUGUUAACUGUGAUACUUUACGUAGAUUAGUUAACAUGAAUUGCAUAUAUACAUUCCAUAUUGAUUCGAAACAUAUGUGCAAAACUUGUGUUGAGAUAAAAUUGACAAGAUCAUCCUUUAAAUCAAUUGAACAAAAUAUAGAACACUUGAUUUAAUUCACAGCAACAUAUAUUAUUUAAAUUUGUACAAACAAGAGGUGACAAUGAAUACUUCAUUAUUUUUGUCACCGAUAGCACAAAAUAUUAUUAUAUGUAAUUGCUUAAUAUUAAAGACUAAGAUAUAGAGAAAAUUUAUUCUCUAUAAGAAUGAAGUUAAAAAUCAACUUAAUAAGAAUAUUAAGGGUUGAGAAAUGAUUGAGGUGGUAAGUAUGAAGCAUAAUUUGUUGAAUUCUGUGCUCAAUACGGAAUCAUAUGUGAAACCACACUACCUUAUUCGUCACAACAAAGUGGUGUUGCUAAACGAAAAAAUCUCUCCUUAAAAGAACUUAUGAAUGCAAUGGUAGUAAGUUAUGGAUUAAUUCAAAACAUGUAGGAGAAAUUUGUGUUAUCGACAAAUUACUCUUUAAAUAAGGUGUAUAUAAAGAAAACGGAAAGACCCUUAUGAGUUAUAGAAAUGAAGAAAAGCUUCCUAUAAAUACUUAGAAGUGUCGAGGUAUCUCACUAAAGUGGCUGCUCCAUACCAAGAAAGGUAAAGAUAGGCUCGAAAAUUAUAGAUUUCAUCUUCAUUGUGUAUGCAAAUAAUAGUAGUGCUUAUCGAUUUCUUGUGCAUGAAUCUACAAUUCUAGACAUACGUAAACAUACAGUAAUGGAAUCAAGAAAUACUUCAUUCUUUGAACAUGUAUUUUCAUACAGAUCCAAAGAGGAAGCAAACUCUUCUAAAAGGACACACGAGACUAUGAUUUAAAAUAGUUAGAAUCGAGAGCUAGAAAAGGCUGUUGAACCAAGAUAUAGUACAAGAGAAUUGACAUGGAAAUCUUUUGAUCUUGGUUUACUGACUUAUAUGCUAGAAAGUGAACCUUAAAACUUUUCAAGGAGCUAUGAACUCUUCAGAAGGACCUCAAUUGAAAGAGGCCAUUAAAAGUGAAAUAGAUUCUAUUUUGCAAACUCAUACAUGGGAGUUAGUGGUCCUUCUUCUAGAAAGUAAACCACUGGGUUACAAAUGAAUUUUCAAAAGAAAAAUGAAAGCAGGUGGAAUUAUCGAAAAGUAUAAGGCCAAAUUAGUAAUAAAAAGUUACAGAUAAUGAGAGGCCUUGAUUACUUUAAUACAUAUUCUACAAUAACAAGAAUAAUAUCCAUUAGGAUGAUUCUUACAAUUGCAACUUUACAAAAUCUUGAAAUAUAUCAAAUGGAUGUUAAAACGGUCUUUUCUAAAUGGAGAUUUAGAGGAAGAAAUUUAAAUAGAAUAACCUGAAGGUUUUUCUUCGCUAGGACAAGAAAAGAUAGUUUGUAAAUUGAUGAAAUCUUUAUAUAUGGCUUGAAACAAGCACCCAAACAGUGCUAUGAAGAUUUUGAUAAUGUUAUGUAGAAUGUGAAUUUAAAAUCAACAAGUGUGACAAAUGUAUUUACGUCAAAGAUAAUAGAAAUGGUUAUAUUAUUCUAUGUCUUUAAGCUGAUGACAUGCUCAUUAUUAAUAGAAACAAUAAGAUGAUUAAAUCUACUAAAAACAUAUUGAAUUCGAGAUUUUACAAUAAAGAUAUGAAUUUAGUAGAUGUGAAACUAGGAGUCAAAAUUACAAGAAUAUUAGAUGGACUCAUUCUAAGCCAGUCACAUUACGUGGGCAAAAUUUUAGAAAAGUUUAGGGGGGAUGAUGCUGACAUGGCUCGAACAAAGAUAGAUACAAGUCAGCAUCUAUAUAAAAACAAAGACGGCAAUGUCUCUCAAGUAGAAUACAUUAGAAUUAUUGAAAGUUUGAUGCACUUGAUGAGUUGCACAAAACCAUACAUGGCCUACAGAGCUAGUAAUUUGAGUAGAUAGACGAGUAAUCCAGGAGCUGGCCAUUGGAAAGGAAUAGCAAAGGUGCUAAGGUACUUAAGAUAUACUCGUACAUAUGGACUGUGCUAUACCAGAUAUCCAGCAGUUAUUGAAGGGUAUAGUGAAGCUAAUUUGAUAUCUGAAAUUAAAGAUUCAAAGUUCACUAGUGGAUUUUGUUCAAAUUAGGAGUAGCUAUAUCAUAGAAAUCCUCUAAACAAAUAGUUAUAGUUAAAUCUACCAUAGAAUCUGAGUUUAUCGCUUUAGAUAAAUGUGGUGAAAAGGUUGAGUGGUUACAUUACUUCUUAAAGGAUAUUUCGAGAUAGUCUAAAUCUGUACUAGCAAUUUGCAUACACAAUGAUGGUCAUUUAACGAUUGGAAUGGCACAAAUUAACAUGUAUAAUGGUAAGUCUAGACAUACACAUCGUAGACAUAAUAAUCUUGAAGUUAGCAACAACGUCGUGGUUGAAGUUAGAGCAAUUGUGCAUAACUAAGAAUCUAACCAGUAAAUUGAACCAAAGUAGCUUUUGUUUAUAUUCUUAUCGAAUGAUAGAAAGCAGAUAGUUUGAAAAUCACCUAGGCGCUUUUAAGAAGAACGUCACUAAUUUUAAGACUUUCGAAGUAAAGUAUGAUGAAAAAUAUUUGACCUUUUGGUGCUCAUUGUCCACUUCGUUUAGAAACACAAUAUUAUAUAAUCGUAAUACUCCCACCAUUGAAGAUACGUGUAAUGCUUUGUUUUCAAAUGAGGAGACGAAACAUUUGGUCAGAUUUGAGGUUAGAGAUGGAGAAGGCAUUGUUGUUUGUGGUGGUCACGGAAGGGGCAAGUUGAAAUCUAAUUUCAGUAAUCACGUUUGUUUUUACUGCAAGAAGAAAUAGCACAUCAAGAGGGAUUAUAACAACUUGCUGAAUAAAGGAAAUUUAUCUAUAAAUCAAAAAUGAAAACAAUCAAAAACUAAAGGUAAAAUCGAUGUCGUAGAGAACUACAUGAGUGAUGAAGAUGAGUUAACUAUUUCCGACAGAGAGUCUGAACCUAACUAUGAAUGGAUUUUGGAAAUAGCAUGUGCUUUUCAUAUGUAUACCAAACAAUAUAUAUUUUCAACAUAUAAAAUAGUUUCAACAGGUGUCGUGGUCAUGGAAAACAAUGCACCUUAUCGAUUAGUUGGUAUUGGUAAAUCAUACUUAAGUUUGUGGAUAUGACAGUUAGAACACUUGAUUAGGUUCAACAUAUUCGAUAUUUGAAGAAAAAUCACUUUUCGUUGAGUAAUCUUGAUUCAAAAUAGUACAAGUUCUUUAAUAGAGAUAGAGUUUUGAACGCAAAGGUGUCCACUUCUAUUAGGGGCAGAAAAAGUCUUAGUUAUAUAUGUCUUGCAAGGUUGUGUGGAAUUUGUUAAGAACAAUCGGUAAAGGUUUAGUACCAUGGUGGAUAUUCAAUUUGAUACAGUAUCAUUGGAUUAGGUUUGAGGUCCAUGUUGAAGAAUGUAGCUUAGUGGGAGUCGAAAGAUAUGAAUAAUAUCGCCUUGCCCCUACUUCCAGUGGCAUCGUAUUCAAUUACUAAGGAUAGACCCAGUGAAGAUAGGUACGAUGAUGUUGAUUUUGUUGCACAAGCUUUAGUAAUUUUAAGGUGUUGAGUCUAGUAAAAGCAUUUGGUGUUGAUUUUGUUUCAGGGUAUGUUUCAGUCCUGUUUGGUAAAUUUUAAAUCAUUUAAGAUUUUUGGUUAAGCUCGAGAUAAUUCUGUAGAGCAGUGUUUGGAUUCAUUUAUCCUAGUUAGAUAUCGUAGAAGAGGUGGAGAAUUUUUGGUUAGUUAGAAAAGUUAUUUUAGUUCUUAUUGAAGAGUUCAGUUCCUUGUAGUCGAAUUUAUACUAAUUCCAUCUUUAAGAAUAUUAUUAUUUAAUAUGUACUUUAUACAUAGUUGGCUUUUCUUUACAAGCUAAUUUAUCUCCCAAAUUAUAUUAUUCUCUUUGUAUUCAUCUUCCUGUGUGAUCAAUAAUUCAUAUCAUGCCAUGUAAUCUCAUCCUAACUCCAACACAAUCGACUUAUUGAAAAAAUCAAUCGAGCGAUGGCUUGGGUAGACAAUGAGCUAUUUGAACAACUGUGAUUGUUCGUGAAACAUGCUGAUUUUUGGGACGUAACUCUCUAACCAUAACAUCUCAACUCUAUAAAUUGGACUUUUUUGGUGAUCUAAAUUUAUUCAUUAAUACUCCAAAUCAUUGCAAAAUCAAAGUUUUUCUUGCAAAACUAUUCAAAGUGGAAAGUGCAAAAUUAUUUCGAGUUCAUUGUUCCUUGUCAUUUUAAGUGCUUCUAUAGUAAAGAGGAAACCAUUGUACGUUGAGAGAAAAUUGUCAAGAUACUGUGAGCUUGAGCACCUUUGGGGGCAAAUUCGUCUAAAAGAAAUAGUGUUAAACACUAGUUUUGAUUUACAACUUAAUUGUUUAUUCUUCAUUUCUGCAUUUCCAUUUUGUCAUUCCAAGUAAAUAUUUUACUUUGUUUAAUUAUUCAUAAUAUAAUUUGCAAAUCAGCAGAUACAUCGAUAAGUUUAAGAAGAUUUUUCUAUGGUUUUUUCCUAUUAUAUUCUGAAUCUGUUUCAUCUUAGAUUAGCAAAUACGUUGCACUGACUUCGUUGUGUUAUACUUUUGUUUUCAUAAUAAAAAUUGAUACCACUAUGACUAAUUCUAGUAAACCACAAAUGGUACAACAAGUGCGGUUCCCACUUGGCUAUACCACUUCAAACUACUCCUAUACCAUAUGGAAUAAUUAUAUAAAAUUUUAGUGGUGUGGAUUUUAAGAGAUGGAAACAAAAGAUGUUUUAUUUUACCACCUUGAACUGGCAAGGUUCUUUAUAGAAGAUCUUGUUGUACAAGAAAGAUAGAACAACCGAGAGUCGAUCCCUGCGUUGGAUACAUGGAAGCAUUCAGAUUUCUUGUAAAAAAAUUAUAUUCUAAAUUGAUUGAACAAUAUACUAUACAAUGUGUAUGGUGCUAUGAAAUCUGCAAAGAACUUUGGGAGACCUUGGAGAAAAAAUACAAAAUGGAGGGCCGAUAAGAAGAAAUUCAUAGUCAAAAAAUUCCUUGACUACAAGUGAUCGACUCCAAGACUGUUAUUAGUUAAGUCCAAGAACUGCAGAUGCUUAUCCAUGACAUAUAUGCUGAGAGCAUGAAGUUGAGUGAGUCACUCAAAGUUGUUGCUAUCAUUAUGAAACUUGCUCCUUUAUGGAGAGAUUUUAUUAAAUAGUUCAAGUACAAAUACAAAGAGAUGAACUUGAAAGAACUUAUUGUACGACUAAGGAUAGAAGAAGACAAUAGAAAGAUGGAAAAAAUCCAAUGUUCAAUUUGGGCAAAUAAAGGCAAAUUUAGUGAAAUUCGGUUCAAGGAUCAACAAGAAGAGAAAACUUUGCACUAAAAAAAACAAUAACAAGAGUACUAAGAAAUUUAAAGGCAACUGCUAUAACUGUUGAAAAGAAAAACAUUGUAGAAGUGAAUAUCACAGGCUUAAGAAGAAUUCUCAAGUGAAUGUGAUGGAAGGAGACACCUUAUUUGAAGGGAUACAAAGAUGAAGUUGUCUACUGUUGUCUCUGAAUAUAAUAAUGUUGAAAAUUCUAGAUAAUGGAAAGUUGAAACUGAUGCUAGCCACUAUAUUUGUGCCGACAAAGCAAUGUUCUCUAAUUACAAAGAACUCAAUGGAGAACAACGUUUCAUAGGAAAUUCUACAAGAUCGAAAAUAGAAGUAUAAAGGAUAGUGACUUUGAAGAUGACUUCCGGCAAAAAGCUCGUUCUCAAUAAUGUUCUACAUGUACUAGAUAUUCACAAGAAUCUUGUAUUUGGGUCUUUGCUUAAUAAUGGAUUUAAAUUGGUCUUAUGUCUAAUAAAUUUGUACGCACUAAGAAUGAUUUGUAUAUGUGAAAAGGGUAUCUUUGUGAUGGGAUGUUCAAAAUGAGCAUCCUUACUAUUGUACCAAAAUCAACCAAUAUGAAUAAAACUUUGAAUGCUGUUUAUAUGCUUGAGUUAUCUUCUUUAUGACAUAAUCAAUUAGGAUAUGCAAAUUUUAAAUCCAUGCACAAACUAACGAACAUAAGUUUAUUACAUUCGUUAAAAUUUGAUCCUAGUCAUAACUGCGAAAUUUGUAUUGAGGUAAAAUUGGCCAAAACUUUAUUUUCAUUCGACUCAGACGAACACUACACAUUUAGAUUUAAUUUGCAGUGACAUCUGUGACUUGAAGUUUGUGCAAAUUAGAGGUGGAAUUUAUUGAGGUUUGCGUAAAGUAUUGUUAUGUCCACUUGAUAAGAAGCAACGAUUAGGCUUUAAAUGUUUUCAAACAUUAUAAAACUGAAGUUGAAAUUUAACUUAGCAAAUGAAUAAAGAAUAUUCAAAAAUGGUAGAGGAAGAAAAUAUGGGGCACGGUUUGAAAAAUUUUCUGUUAAAAGAUGGCAUCAUUCAUCAAACAACGGUAUUUUAUUCACAUCAAUCAAACGAUGUCGAUGAACAUGACAGCGCUAUCAUAUUCACAUCUUGAAUAAUUUGUUUAAUCAUAGAUUAAUUGAAGAGCCCCAAAACAUAUAAAUAAUAAUUAAUUUGUACCCUUUUGAUCUAAAUAUAAGAGAAAUGCAAGCCCUGAAAAUAAAUGUUAGUUAUUAUACAUGCGCGUAAAUAGUGAAAUACAUAAUUGAAUGUUAAAUAUAUUGAAAAACGAAAAAUUAAAAUAUUAUUGAAAUAAUUGAAUUAUAGUAGAGAAAGAAUCGUCCAAAAAAUGAUAAUCACUUUUUAUAUAUUUAAUAUGUUAUAAAUUUAUAAAUUAUUUAUAUUAUAAAUAGAUUAAAAAAAUAAAAUCUGAAUGAUGCGUAAAUGGUAACACUUGAGUCUCUGUGUGGAUUAAUUGAAUUGAAUAUUUAUAGAUAGAUUAUAAACAUGAAUCAAUCAUUGGCUUAGAAAUUUGCUACAAGAUUUAUCGCGUCCUAUUUGGGCUUCAUUUUUUAAAAUUCCUUUUCAAUUAUACAUUCUUUCAUAAAAUAAUAUUAUAUGUAAAUCUGAAAUUUUUCCUUAUUUUUUAAAUUACACAUAUUUUCCUGAAUUCUUAGUUUAGUGAAGCCCAAAUAGGGGCGCAGAUGUUUAUCAAAUCAAAAUUAAGAAAGAUUUAUAAACUAAUCAGACUUGAAUUUUAUCCAUGCAUUUCAUAAUUUUACAAUAUUUGAAUAAUUUCUAAUCAUAAUUUUCAACGAACUUAGAGGACACUACAUUUAGGGCCUGUUUGGUAUGAUUUUUGCUUUAAAUUCUUGUAGAAGAAUUUUUGUAAGAAGUUACUUCAAUUUUUGUUUGAAAUGUAAUUUUUACAAAAGUUUUCUUUUUUAGAAGUGCUUUUAGAGGAAAAGAUCAUUGUCAAAGUAAAAAGUACUUUUAAAUUCCAAACAAAAAUCAAGAUAGUUUCCUCAAAAAAACUAUUCUAUAGGAAGUAAAAGCAAAAGAGAAACCUAUAAAAAUACCUCUAAAAUUAAGAAUCUUUUGAAAAAUCAUACAAAAAGUAUUUUGGAAAUAAAAAAAUACUGUAUAAAAUUAAGUGUAACUUUUUUUUAUAUAAAAAAGUAAUGUCACUUUUUUAUUUGUACCUUUUUUUUUUUUACAACGUUACUUUAUAAAGGUAAAUGCUACUUUUCUAAUUACUAGUUUUAUAUGCACGGGCUAUGAUUUUUUAAGCUCAUGUUAGCAUGUUGAAUGUUAAAGAUUGACGAGAGCUGCAUUCACAACACAAUUUAAGUGUUUAAAUUAUCGCCGAUGAUAUAGCAAACCAAAUAGACAAGAAAUUAGAUAUUUAUCUUUCUUUUUUUGUCAAACAUAAUUUGUUAAGGUACUUCUAAGCAUAAUCAAGAGCUAUCGGGUUUUCAUCCCUCUACUAGAAACUUGUGUUGAAAUGAUCUCGAACUAAUUUUUUUCUUUUCUUUCAAUACAAAUAUAAUUUUUUUUUUAAUAAAGAUUAGGAAACUUAAAUAAAAUCCUUUGACGCUGAAUAUGCUCUCUUUCAACAAAAAUAGGAAUAUAACAUAUCUUAGAAAGCAUAAGCUUACAAGUUACAGGUGCAUUAGGAAUUCUUUGCUUUUAAAUAUGUGGUGAAAAGGGCAUGAAAGAACUCGGAAAGAAAAAAGAUAGUGUUUUUCUUUUAAUUUUUUCCUUCCGAAAAUGGUUACUCACCAUGUCUUUCUAGAAAGGAAAAAAAAAAAUCGAAGAAUUGAAAAUUUCUUUAGCAAGACUCAAAAAGUGGAGUAACAUGCUUGUGAUUUUGUCAUUUACACUAAUAUAAAGUGAAGAAAUUAGCAGAAUAAGAGAACCCUCCAAUUGGAGAUUCAAAACAGUAUAUUCGCAUUUGCAAAUCAAUAAUUUUGGUAGCAGAAUAUUAAACACCUUUUCUAUGUGAUCUUGAAGCUAUGAUUAUUGAUUACGCUCAAUCGAUUCCACAGGGAAAUGGACGAAUUGUUUAAAGGAUUUAUCGAACUAGAAUUUCGUGAAUUAUGUGAAAAUAAUUUGUCAAUUGAAAUAAGAUUUAAUUAUCAAUAUGCGAGAUUAGUCAAUCACCGGAAUUCAAUCUCCUAGAUUGGAUCAAUCAACACCAAUCAUUCAUCUAUCUUACUAAAAAGUUUAGGUUCCUAUAAUACGUUCCCACUUAAUCUAUUGAAAUCAGAUUCAAAAGCGACCAUAUACAUCAAGCAUAAGGCUACUCCAAUGAGAUUAUUUUAAAUUGGAAUUCAAUAAAUAUUCGAUCAAACUAUAGAAAGAGCAUGACUAAUUCGAUGAAAAAAUCUAAUAAGAACUAAACCACUUCAAAACCAACUCAUGAAGAAAACCUAGAUCAAUUUAAUUUCACUUAUAAUUCUAGAAUUUAGGCUACCUAAGAGCAUAUUCCUCUUUGAUUUAUUGAAAUACGAUUCAAAAAAUGAUUAUAUACAUCAAGCAUAAAACAGUAAUCAAAUCACAUCAAUAAAUUAAUUGAAGUUUAAAUUCAACAAAUAUUUCCGUCAUUCAAUGGAAAAAUCAUAAUUGAAUUCAUGAACAAUUUAAUAAAAGCUAAACAAACUUCAAAAGUAUAUAAUAAGGUAGAAAUCUAAAUCCAAGAAUUAUUCGACAAUGAAAAACACGUUACAUGAAUAAAAAGAUGUGAAAAUCCCCAAAUCCGAUCAAGAUAUUUCGUGACUUCACCAAAAUAUUUAGCUUUCUAUGGAGUUCUUGUGCCCAAGAUGAGAGAAAAGAGAUCGGAGAUGAUUAGGGGGCGUUCUCCCUUCUUUUGGGGGUGAUUUAGGGUUUAAAAUUCGUGGGAGAUCAAGUUACCACAAGAGUUUGAACAGAAUUAGGAAACUAAAGAUUCGGUCAAAAAUUGUUCUGUGCGACUACUUUCAGUAUUGUGACCAUAACUCUCUCCCGAUAUCCAAUUAAGGCAAUUCAAAGUGAAUUGGAAAUCUAAUACAAAGGGCUACAAUUUUGCUAUAAAUAGCAUUUUCCAAGUUCUGACGUUUACUGGGUCAAAAGUGGACUUCAAUCUAUGGCUGAAAAUUCAGAAAAUCUUUAUGCGGUUCGAAUUUAAUUUGUGAAUAUGUUAUUGUCAUAUUUAACUUCUUUUGACUUCUAAUUACACACAAUAGACUCCUAGCUUUCUCGAAUCAUCAUUCGAUCAACCGUCUCAUCUUUAAAUUAUUUGCAACUUGGUCCCUAAAUUUCACUUUCUUCUAUUUUGAUUCUUUUUCGUUCUUUUCUUCUAAAUUUCACAUUUUCUACCGAAAUACAACUUGAAUCAAAGCAUAAGUACAAUGAGUGCAUUUUGAUAUCAAAUAAUCACACCAAUGCAAUAAUUAAAAGGAUACAAUAUUAUAUUUUACACUCAUAUUAGACCCCUCCCCCUCCCCCUCCCUAACUUGCUUAUUGCUAGUCCCUAGCAAUUCAAUGCAAAAUAAGCAAAUGAAUUAUUAGAAUGUGAAUACAAGUGAAAUUAUUAAGUUUCAACUUAACCAUAGUUCAUGUUCUUUUCACACUCAACACCACAAGAACUUAACAAUGCCAUGAUUAUCAAGAUAUCAAAAACACUUACCAAAUGUGUGAGUGUGUGUCAAGCCAUAACCAUUUUACCAACAACCCUAACACAUGCAACAAUAAGUAUGUCUCAAGCUGAAAGUUCAGCCCCGUAACUCACGAGUAUCAAAGUGUUUAGUGCGAUUUUCUCUUAUGGAGUUAAGAAAGAUAUACUCUCAAAACAUGUAGGCUUAAAAUUUAUGAACAAGCAACAAGCAAAUAUUGAUCACAUGAUAGGUACACUAUCAACUGAGAAUUCAUCAACUUCUUACCACAACCCUACUAAAGAUCAAAACAGCCAAUGCAAAGGGUGUGAAAGGGGUUAAGUUGGGUCACAUGAAAAGUAGUACAGAAUGAAUUUAAGGACUUCCAAGUAUCUAACUAGGUAUCUCAACAAGUAUUUCAACAUAUCAAUCUUUGACAUCAAUGCAUUCCUCAACCUUUCAAUUCUCAACGGCAAUUCUUUUUUUUUUCCAUCAACUUUUGACAAUUUUUUUUUUUUUUUGGAAAUUCCCCUUCUUCUUCUUUUAAGAUUCAUCACUUCACCUGAGCACCUAUCAACUCUUAUCAUUUUUUUUUCGUUGCUUUUCUUCUCAAAUGACAUUCAAUACCUACUAUACACUUGGAAGCAUAAAGGUUUGAAAAAUAAAUGUUUGUAGACUUUAAUCCGAUGUGAAGAUGUAUAAAUAACAUAGGCGCUAGGGAUGGGCGUGGGUCGGUUCGUUUCUAAAGAGAACCGAACCGAACCAAAAUUUUCGGGUAUCUAGUAAAUAAAAUCGUCGGGUCCAAAUAUAAUUAUGGAACCGUUCGGGUUCGGUUCAGUUCGGUUCCAUUCAGUUCUAUACUAUAAUUAAAUUUUUUAACAUUUAUAACAACAUUAUAUAAAUACAACUAAUGACACAUUCAAUGAUUUUGGAAUGUCAGAGACUAAUAGACUACUUUGUUCAAAUGAUCGCUACGAUCAAAGCUUCGAUCGGUGGAGGCCACAGCUUCGGUCAGUGGCCAUAGCGUCGAUCAACGAUUGUCUAGGUUUUGGAAUGUCAACGAGACUGUGAGAGUGAGUGCAAGAGUCGAGACAAUGUUAUGCACUUUAGUAUAGGUAUUUAGGGUUAAUUAGUGGAUUGUAUCUUGUUGUGCUAAGAAAUGAAAGAAUAAAAUGGGUAAUUGGGACAAAAAUUAAAAAAUUAGAAAUGAAAUAAAUUAUUGCGCCAAAAAUUUGGUUUUAGAAAUUGUUAAUUUGAUAAUUUGUUUAGAAAAAAUUAAAAUUAAAAUAAUUUGAUUUAUUCAAUAUAAAAAAAUUAGAAAGAUUCGGUUCUUAGUCUAGAAUCGAGAACUGAACCAUACCCGUCGAUUCUCAAUUCAGAUACCCGUUUGAGUAUUUAAUUUCAUAAGAACCGUCGGGUUUGGUUCGGUUCGGUUCGGUCAGUUCGGUUCGAAAGAUUUGCCCAACCCCAAUAGGCGCAUAAAAAGAAAUGGUUAUAUGUGUACUAGCUCAAAGUGGCUACUAAGAGAUUAUAAUUACGAAAAGAGACAAACUAGUCUGAAGGCUCAACUUCAAUCCUAAAUUGACUGUUAUCAUUUCCCAAGUAUAAUCCAUCAUCUUACCACAUACCAUGUAAUAUUAUUCUCAUAAGAAGUUUCCAAUUCAUAAAAUCAAUGAGUGCUUAUUACCAUUUUUAGUAUAUAUGGCUCUCAAUCCUCACCAAUUUUCUCACAAGAAAAACUUCAGCAAGAGACUCAUCUUACUACAUGUGUUAAACCACUAUUUUACUAAGGUUUGUUUGCACAAAAUAAUUCGACAAGUGUCUCAACAUCUAGACUCACAUGAACAAUAUCAACUUCUAGUGGCAUAUUUUGUCAUUCAAGAACAUGAAAAUGUAGCAAAUAGAGAUUUAAGGAAAAAAAUUAGACCAAAAUUCCAAGUAACUCAUGCACUUCACAACAAAAUUUAGGUUAAACUCUCUCCCCAAUUAAACAUUGCAUUGUCCUCAAUGCAAAAGCAUGUUUGCCAAAUAAAGGUAAGGAAAGAUGUCACAUGAGUACCGAAGUGAAUCACAUGAGCUGAAGUAUAAGAAGCCUGAAAGUCUUCAAUGGAAAAGGUGAUACAGAAAAUGAAAAUAAACUAGAAUGCAGUUAAUAAUACAUGUGAUGCAAAUAAACCUAACAAAUGCAGAAAUAAGAUAAAAGAAGGGAAAAGAACUCCUCUUGGGUUGGCUCCCAAGCAGUGCCUUUGUUUAUUGUCGUUGGCUCGACCUAAUAUUUGUUUCUUUAGCUCGCAUCCAGUUAGGGCGUUGUCAACACUCUUUGCAUUACACCAAGCUUAGUGGAAAUAAUCGCUGGUGAUGUUCCACAAUCCUGCAAAUCGUCAAAGGCACCACAAAUAUUAGCAUAUUCCCCAUCAUCAUACCUUGCUAGAAUUUCAGAAUUUAAAAGAAAAUAUUUUAAAGGGUUGGGGUUAAUAAUCGCAGGUGCUUCCUCCUAAACGAGUGCAUCAAUCAUGAAUGUUUGAUGACGCUCGUCAUCCUCCUCAGGUUGCUUCAUGAUGUGAAAGAUGUUGACGUCCAGAGUCAUGUUCCUAAAUGAUAAUUUCAUUAGACCAUUCCUACAAUUGAUAAGAGCAUUAGCUGUGACAAAAAAAGGUCUACCAAGAAUUAUGGGAAUUUUGGAGUUAACAUUCACAAUAACUUUUAGGUCCAAAAUUAAGAAGUCAAAGGGUAGUAAAAUUUGUCAACUUGUACCAACACAUCAUCAACUACUCCCUUAGGCCUAAUAGUGGAUCGAUCAGCCAAUUGUAAACUUACUGAUGUGGGUUUCAUCUCUCCUAGUCUUAACAACAAGUAAGUAUCAUACGGCAUAAUGUUAACACUAGCCCCUAGAUCAAGAAAGGCUUGUGAAAUCUCAUGGUUCCCGAUGAUGCAAGAGACAGUAGGACAACCAGGGUCCUUAUACUUUAGUGGGAUAUUUUUCUCAAACACAGUACUCACAUGUUUAGUCAAGAAAGUAGUUUUCUUAACAUGGUGUUUCUUCUUCACAGUGCAGAAGUCUUUUAGGACUUUAGCAUAUGUGGGAACCUGGGAGAUCAUAUGUAGGAGAGAUAGAUUGAUUUUUACUUGUUUUAGAUGCUCUAGGAUUUCACUAUGUUGGCCGACAAAUUUUAAGGUAGACUUGAGAGCUUGAGGAAAAUGUACUCUAGAUGGAUUUUUCACUACCUCCUCACUAGGGAUACUCUCUUCUGAAUUGUUAGGGUCCUUUUCAUUCUCCCUAGAUUGAAGGGCUCGUUCAAUGACUUUCCUAGAUCUAGUGGUUAUGGCAUUUACUUCUUUAAAGUUAGUCUCUCUCGAUCCCGAAAUUUGUGCCACGUGUUGUCCCUUUGAACUUGGUUGAGCUUGAACUGGAAAUUUUCAACGUUCCCCUACAGCUAAGGUAUUGGUUAGUUUGGACACAUGGUUCUUUAUCUCUUUAUUUUCCUCAACUAACUAGCCAAUCAUAGUCUCAAAUUUUUUAUUUGUUUUACCAUGUGCCUCAAUAAAUAAAUGUAAAGUAUCUUCUAAGGAAUUCCUAGAGGAUGUGGGUUUACGUAGGGAUACAUUGUAAGCUCUAUUGGAUUGGGCAGAUUGUUGGUUUUCGAACUUCCAGCUAAAGUUGGGGUGAUGUUCCCACCCUGCGUUGUAAGUCUCGGGGUAAGGGAUAUAGGGCUUUUGAUAUAUGUCUAGAGCAUUACAGUGUUCCUCAUAAAGUCCUCUCAUUUAAGCAUAAGUGGCACACUCCAGUGCUAGGUAAUCACUCCUUCCACACACAAAACAAGGCUCUAAAGACUCAACAUAGGAAAUGAAUCGAGUGGUUUUUGAAUUCUUAGCACGCAGGUUUUCAAGUUGUCUAGUAAGGGCUUCUACCUUUGCUCUAAGGUUACCUUCCUCCCUAAGAUGAUGAAUACCUGUGCCAUUCGAGUUUCCAUUGGGUCGUAACCUAUUAGUACUCUCGGUGGCACUAGGUCCAAUCUAGGCAUGGGCUUUCUCAACUAAGUUAUCUAAGCAGUCUAUAGCCUCAUCCGGAUCUUUUUGCAAAAAUUCACCAUUACACAUCAUUUCAACAAAUUGAUGCUUCCUAGGUAAUAAUCCCUCAUAAAAUAGCUCACAAUGCGUCAACUUUCAUAACCGUGAUGGGGGUAGAGGUUUUGCAAUUCUUUGUACCUUUCCCACGCUUGAUAUAAAGUUUCACUCUCCUUUUGAGUAAAAGAAGAGAUUUGCUUUUCAAUGCAACUGUUUUGUGGUGGGGAAAGUACUUGCCAACGAAUGCUUAAGUCAUUUCAGCCCAAGUCCCAAUCAAACGUGGUCGCAAUGAAUACAGCCAGCUCUUUGCUCUUUCUUUAAGAAAAAAGGGGAAAAUUUUAAGCCUGAUUGCAUCCAUUGUGCCACGUUGAUUGUGGAAAGUUGCAACCACCUCUUCAAAUUCCCUAAUAUGCACGUAUGAGUUUUCAUUUUUAAGACCGUGAAAGGUAGGAAGAAGUUGGAUCAUUCCUUAUUUAAGGUCCAUGCGUGGCAUAUUAGGUAGAAAUAUAAUGCAAGAUGAUAUAGAUGUGCGCAUGGGUUGAAGAUAAUCAUGCAAGGUCCUAAUUGAUGCUUCUUCAUGUUCACUAUCAGUAAUUGUGUUGUGUGAUGUGAUGUGUGUGCCAAUAAAUUCAAUAUCAAAGAAAGGUUUAGGAAAAGAUUCAAACACUGGUUGCAGUCUUGCAAUGAAUUGUCCCCGCUCGUCCCGAUCUCUGUUCAUAAAGCACAAAAAAAAUAUGAAAUUUUGUGAAAAAUAAUAGAAUAAAAACUAAUAAAAUUAAGCUAAUUAAAAAAUGUAAAAGAGGAACGAAGUCACCCUUUCCCUCAAAGAUCCUUUGAUUAUUUAUACCGUCUUCCCGGCAUCAGUGCCAAAAUCUGAUUACGCUCAAAGAAUAACAUGGUAGUUGUAGCACAACUUUGGGGUAUCGAUUCCACAGGGAGAUGGACGAAUUGUUUAAAGGAUUUAUCGAACUAGAAUUUCAUGAAUUACGUAAAAAUAAUUUGUCAAUUGGAAUGAGAUUCAAUUAUCAAUAUGCGAGAUUAGUGAAGCAUCAAAAUUCACUCUCCCGAAUUGGAUCAAUCAACACAAAUCAUUCAUGUAUCUUACUAAAAAAUCUACGUUCCUAUAAUACAUUCCCACUUAAUCUAUUGAAAUCAGAUUCAAAAGCGACCAUAUACAUCGAGCAUAAGGCAGUAAGGAAUCAAACCGAUGAGAUUAUUUUAAAUUGGAAUUCAAUAAAUACUCGAUCAAACUAUAGAAAGAGCAUGACUAAUUCUAUGAAAAAUCUAAUAAGAAUUAAACCACUUCAAAACCAAUUCAUGAAGAAAACCUAGAUCAAUUUAAUUUCACUUAUAAUUCUAUAAUUUAGGCUUUCUAAGAGCAUAUUCCUCUUUGAUUUAUUAAAAUACGAUUCAAGAAAUGAUUAUAUACAUCAAGCAUAAAAUAGUAAUCAAAUCACAUCAAUAAAUCAAUUGAAGUUUAAAUCCAACAAAUAUUUUUGUCAUUCGAUAGAAAAAACAUAAUUGAAUCCACGAACAAUUUAAUAAAAGUUAAACAAACUUCAAAAGUAUAAUAAGGUAGAAAUAUAAAUCCAAGAAUUAUUUGACAAUGAAAAACACAUUACAUGAAUGAAAAGAUGUUAAAAUCCCCAAAUCCGAUCAAGAUCCUUCAUGGUUUCACCAAAAUAUUUAGCCUUCCAUGGAGUUCUUGUGCCCAAGAUGAGAGAAAAAAGAUCGGAGAUGAUUAGGACGCGUUCUCCCUUGUUUUGGGAUGAUUUAGGGCUUAAAAUUCGUGGGAGAUCGAGUUACCAUAAGAGUUUGAACGGAAUUAGGAAACUAAAGAUUCGGUCAAAAAUUGUUCUGUGCGACUACUUUCAGUAUUUUGACCAUAACUUUCUCUCCUAAUAUCUAAUUAAGGCAAUUCAAAGUGAAUUGGAAAUCUAACACAAAGGGCUACAAUUUUGCUAUAAAUAGCGUUUUCCAUGUUCCGACGUUUACUGGGUCAAAAGUGGACUUCAAUCUCCGACUGAAAAUUUGGAAAAUCUUUAUGCGGUUAGAAUUUAAUUUGUUAAUAUGUCAUGGUCAUAUUUAACUUCUUUUGACUUCUAAUUACACCCAAUGGACUCCUAGCUUUCUCGAAUCAUCAUUACAUCGUCCGUCUCAUCUUUAAAUUAUUUACAACUUGGUCUCUAAACUUUCACUUUCUUCCAUUUUGGUCAUUUUUUGCUCUUUUCUUCUAAAUUUCACAUUUUCUACCAAAAUGCAACUUGAAUCAAAGUGUAAGUAUAACAAAUGCAUUUUGGUAUCAAAUAAUCACAUCAAUGCAAUAAUUAAGACGAUAAAAUAUUAUAUUUUACACUCUUAUCAAUUAUUCACAAAGUAGACCAAUAGAGCACAUCUAUUCUUUUCCAUACCAUAGAGCAUAAAAAAUUAAUGCAAAGGGGCACGAUCUAGAAUAAUAGUGAAAGAAACAGGGAGAAUGUUUUAAGUUGCUUUUUGCAUUUCCUGUUGUAGUUUCCCUGCUAGGAUAACCAUAAGAAUCUAUGAUAUCAGAUUAGCAUAAAUAUAAAGUACAAUAAUGAAAUAAUCCUUCAAAAUAUUUUAGCUAAAGCAACAACAUAAAUACAUUGGACAUGCUAAUGGAAACAGCAUGUUAAUUAGAAGUAAACCAAGUAGUCACUAAAAUCUCUUCAAAGUAGAAUUUAGAGAAUAAAAAUAACCAUACGUCGAUCGCUUUUUUUGCUACUUCAAUCUACUUAAAAUGAUUCUCUACAAUCCCAUAUCUCCAGAAAAUGCAUCGUAAUAGAAGCCUUGUAAAUCAUAUAUCCAAUUCAAGAUAAAUUGUGAUGAGUUAAUAUGACAACUGAUGAAAAAUGUAAACCAACUUGUUGACACAUAAAAAUUCAGCCCAAAUCGAACAGCUCAAGGAGUGAAGCCCAAUUGGAAGAUCCCCAAAUCAGAUAGCCCAAAGAACGAAGCCCAAUCGAACAAAUCAAGAUGAAGGCCCAAAUAAGGAGGCCCAAGAACGCGGUAACGACAUCGCCCAAGUUUGCAAGUCACCCAGAAUCUGAGCGAAUGGAGGUCAUACAGUCGCCCAGAGCUGUUACUCUAUUCUCGCCCAAGCCUUCAAGUCGUCCAAGGUCUUAACAAACAAAAGCGUCGUGGUUAUCAAGAAGUGCAGUUAUCAAAGCAGUUAUUAAAGCAGCCCUAUCACGUUCCACGAUUCAAGGAAUUCAAUCGAAAACGGUUGAACGAUGAAGAGUAAUGACAGUAGUUAAAAAGGCAGUUUUCAUGACAAGUUGGCCAUUACGAAGAAAGUGGGCAGUUAUAGGAUGAUCAAGCAGUUUUUAGGGCGGUUGAUCACAAAGAGAUCGUCCAUGAAGUAUAAAAUGGAGAAAGGAUAUAGAAGCAAAGGACCGAAUCAAAAACUCUUGAACAGAGAAUAUGUAAUUUUCAUUUCCUUAGCUUAGACUUAAACACUUUUCUUUCAGUAACUCGUGUGCUUGCGCCCCUUGGAGGCACGUUGUUUUUAAUUUCCAAUUGUAAAGUCAUUGCCAAUAAAAGAACACCCCUUUUUGGGACUUUGUCUCAAGAGGUUUGUCCCUUACACGAUCGUCUGAUCCUUUUUAAUUGUUAGCGACUAACCCGCGCGAAACAAUUUGGCACGCCCGGUGGGACAGUGGUGUUAGGUGUUGAAAGUACAAAAGGUGAAACAAUAUGCCUCAGAAAUCCAAUAAGGAAGCAGCAAGUCAGGGAGGAAUCCAGUCUAUGAUCGAGCGAUAUGAGGAGCAGCAUGCCUCUCCACGAACAGAUGGACAGAACCAGAGCAGUAACAGUCGUUACGAACCAAUGACGGAGUUGAGUCCUCGAACCAUGCGUGCAUUACUUGGAGAACUCACGCAAGACGUCGUUGAACAGGUAAAUCUUCGAAGUAUUCAUAAUAUGGAAAGAUUUACACAAAGUGGUAAUGCACACUAUGACAAUAUGGCCAAACAACUAAAGACGUUGAACGAAACAAUGAAUAAGUUAGUAGGCCAAAUAUGUCAACCGGCUAUACCUCUUACAAACCACUUUCAAAUUAGGACAAUUGUGGGACAUAAUCCCUUGGUCCUAAAUCCGAAUCAAUGGGUAGAACCGCUUUCUGGUCCCUCUACUUCAAACCAAGGGGGUAUUACAGUGCCAAAUCAGAAUAAUGGUAGUAGUAUGCCUAACUUGGGGGGUAAUCCAAACGUAAGAGAUAAUAUCCUGAACAAUUAACAGCACACCCCACGUGUUAAUGAGGAAACAGAUGUUCAGGCUAAUGGUAAUGGCCUUAAUUAUGGUAAUAUUGUUGCCAAUCAAGGACCAAACAUCAGGCCUCAUGCAAAUCAACCGGUUAAUCAACCUGUAGGAAUUCCAUAUGAUCCCAAUGUCAUGUUGAAGAACCAAAUUAUGGAAAUCGUACAGGAUCAGAUGACUUUUGGGGUGCGUCCCGUCAUUAGACCGACGUACACAAAACCAUAUCCUGAUUGGGUAGACUAAGCAUACCCAUGGCCUAAAGGGUACAAAGUGCCAGAAUUCUUACUGUUUACCGGUUUAGGAGAAGUGUCCACUCUAGAACACAUAGGGCGAUUCACAUUGUAAAGUGGUGAUGUAACCGAUUACCAUAAAAUGAGGCUUUUCCCUAGUUCGUUAACAGGAGUAGCUUUCUCCUGGUUCAAGUUGCUAGCGAACUCUGUUCAAACAUGGCAAUAACUGGAACAGUUGUUUCACGCUCAGUUUUAUAAAACUGAGUCUGAAGUCACUUUGGCUGAUUUGGCAAAUCUACGUCAAAUGCCAAACGAAUGGGUAGAAAGUUUUCUCCAAAGGUUCAAAACAGCAAGAAGUAAGUGUUUUGUACCUCUGUCCGAAAAAGAUUUUGUCAAAAUCGCUCAGGGCUGCUUGAGCUUUGAUUUAAAAAAGAAGUUCCAGGACAAGGAGUUUCCUGACCUUUUCCAGUUAAGUGCAAAUGUGAUUAGGUAUGAGCGACUGAUAAGAGAGGAAGAACAAAUAAAAAAUUCUAGUAAAGGGACUUAUUACAAAGACCCAAAUUUCGACGUUCAUGCCAUCGACGACGAGUCAUAUGAUCAGGCCGAAAUGUGUUUGGUCGAAUUGGUCAAAGGAGAUACAUAUACUUGUUCUAUAAUGGCCAAGCCUAGACCAUCAAGCCAAGAUAAGCCCAUAAAAGAUGAAAACAUAAAGGCUAGAAUGUUCUCGUUCGACGUAAUCAAAGCUGACCUUAUAUUUAACAAAUUAUAUAGGGAUAAGCUGAUAAAAUUGAGCGAUAAACACAAAUUGCCAAACCCUGAACAAAUUAAGGGUAAAAAAUAUUGUAAGUGGCAUAAUGCAUGGUCACAUUUGACUAACAAUUGCUUGAUUUUCCGUCAUGUAUUGUAGGAUGCCAUUGAAUCAGGACGAAUUACGUUCGAUGAUAAGAAAAAGAUGGCAGUGGACGAGAAUCCUUUCCCACAGCCACUUGGAGUAAACAUAGUAACAUCUGGAUUCAAAAACAAGUUACCAAAAUUCAAGUUGGUCGUAGAUGAUGGAGAAGAGGAUCCUUGACCACAUCCCAGCGUCUUUGAACGAAUCAAGGGGAAAGAACCAAAAAAGGAUGAAGACGUCUUGUGUGCAAGGUGUAAAAGAGAAGUGAAUGGAAAUACGGAGAAACCAGGGAUAUGGCAGCAUCAUCAUCGCCUUACCUUCUUCCCAAACACUCAGCCUGGUAGAGGGCGAGGUACAUCAUUCUAUAGAGGACCGCCUUUUGAGAGGCAGUUCAGGCCAGCAGAUAAUGGAAGAACAUUCAGGCCGCAACCUCGCCAGCCAAAUGUAUGGCAUUCAUUCCAGUAUAAUACAGGAAGGGCAAUACCCUUCGAUGAGAUGACUAGAACCCAACAAAGGCGUUUCCAACGAAACUACGGAUGGAUGAUGAGGCAGCAACAGGGAAUGCCACAUCCUAAAGCGCCUAAACUACUCAAGGUAGCCAAUUAAAACGUCCUCAAAAAUAAUGAAGAGACCGGUACGAUGAAUCAAUGAAGGAACUGCCAGAAACUUCUUCUGGGAGAUCAAGGUUUGAGCGAGACAGAAGGGAUGAAGAAGAUCCAGAUCAGCUCCUCACUAUCCAAUUUGGUACGUUGCGUCCUAUCGUGGCCAAUAAUUACUUACUGGCCAAUGAAUUCAAGAAUAAAGAAAAAGAAGAAAAGAGAGAGGACAACGAAGGAGAAGCCUGCGUGCUGGUAUGUGAAGAAGGCCAGACUUCUAGAGAGGUCUACAAUGAUGAAGAGGACGACGAGAUGACAGACAUUGAAGAAGAAAUCGACCUAGAAGCAGAAAAAAGAAAGAGAGGAGUAUCGCGCAAUACUCUAUUGAAGCAAUUACAUCGAGAGGGAGUUCGCGAAGUAGACUUGUUGGGGGAACCAUCUGAGCGUCCUUUCGACUUCUACGUACUGUACGGGACACCCAAAAGGAAAAAGAGAGUGCCUCGCUCUGAAAAGUAUGGGUUACCUCCAAGAAUAAUGUCCCCUCCCACAGGUUGGGUAACUGAUGAGGAAGCAUUAGAAAGAAGUAGGAAGGAAGUUCAGGAGACAGAGGAUCAGCGUGAUAUACUGCACGUCGACCUAUCACAGGAGAAUAAUUCAACAGAAAACAAGCAGGGAGUAGAAAUAGAGGCUGCCGAAAAGGUUAUUUUUAAACGGCCAGCCAUGAAAUUGACUAAACACUUGAGGCCAUAAUACGUUAAAGCUCUAGUUAAUGGCGUUCCAGUGGCAAAAGUGCUUGUUCACAAUGGAGCAGCUAUAAACACCAUUCCAUCUAGGAUGAUGAGGAAGUUCGCAAAGACAGAGGGUGACAAGAUUCCUACAGAAGUCAUCCUCACUAGCUUCAAUGGAGGAGCAACUUCCGCUAAGGGAGUUAUGCCAUUAGACAUAACUAUAGGGACGACUACUAAGACCACUGUCUUCUUUGUAAUAGAUGGUCCUACUAGUGACAACGUGCUACUAGGAAGAGAUUGGAUACACGGAAGUCACUGUAUACCCUCAUCGCUCCAUCAAUGCCUGAUCUUUUGGAAUGACAAAGGCGAAGCAGAGGUGGUACAGGCCGAUCAUAGGUCUUUUGUUGCAGAAGCAAACUCGGUGGAAAAGUUCAUGUACGAAGGAAACUAUAGACCUAUCAGGGUAGUACAAGACGGGGAAGAAACUCAGGUUGUCGCGCAAAGCGAAGAACCAUUCUCAGUGGACACACUCACUGAAAUGUUCAAAUAGAUGAGGCCAAAUAUAGUGGCUCUGGAAGAGCCAGUAAUUGGCAAAAGAAUAAUUAAGGAGUCUUGAAUGGAUUUUAAGUUAUAAAAGCAAAUGGCCGACAUUCAGGCCUUCAAAGCCAGACUGAUGGCUUUCAAUAAAGAAUGCAAUGACAAGGCGAAAGAAGAGACAGCCCUAAAAGCGCUGAAGGAUAAAUUGGCAGUAUUCGAGUUAGAGCAAAGCAUUGACCGAAAAGUCAACAAGGUGGACUGUUUGGAAGAUGAAGUACUUAUAAGAGAACUGGACGACGAAGUAAUGCGGAUCGCCAAACCUGGAUACGCUCAAGUACAAGACCCUCUGAUCAAAGUAAAUAUUGGCAAUGAAGGAGAAGAUCGCCCAACAUUCAUCAGCCAAAUGCUCGACCAAGAGGUUAGUAACAAGUUAAUCGCUUUGUUAAAAGAGUACAAAGAUUGUUUUGCUUGGAAAUAUGAACAAAUGCCUGGUUUAGAUAGAGACUUGGUGGAACAUAGGUUACCAACUAAACCUAACUUUAAACCUCAUAGGCAGCCUCCUAGACGUUUUGCUCCCAAUAUACUCCCUGAAAUCAAGAAAGAGAUAGAGCGAUUAUUGAAAGCAGGUUUCAUUAGAACAGCCAGAUAUGUCGAAUGGUUGUCCAAUGUCGUGCUAGUACUAAAAAAGAAUGGUAAACUAAAGGUGUGUAUAGACUUUAGGAAUUUAAACAUAGCCACACCCAAAGAUGAGUAUCCAAUGCCCACGGUGGAUACUUUAGUAGAUUCAACUGCCGGACAUGUCAUGUAUUCUUUCAUGGAUGGGUAUUCAGGAUACAAUCAAAUUUAUAUAGCUAAAGAAGAUAUAUACAAAACUGCCUUUAGAUGCCUUGGGUCUCUAGGAUAUUUUGAAUGGGUGGUUAUGCCUUUCGGCCUAAAAAAUGCAGGGACAACUUAUCAAAGGGCCAUGAAUUUAAUCUUUCAUGACAUGAUAGGCAAGUUUGUUGAGGUGUAUGUAGACGACAUAGUAGUCAAGUCCAUUAAAGAAGAUGACCAUUUCGAACAGUUAAGAUGUUCGUUUGAACGAAUGAAGCAAUAUAAGCUAAAGUUGAAUCCUUUGAAGUGUGCAUUUGGUGUUAAUGCAGAGAACUUUCUUGGUUUCUUAGUACACAAGAGAGGAAUUGAACUUGAUAAAAAUAAAGCGAAGGCUAUUUUAGAAGUCAAACCACCUAGCAACAAAAAGAAGUUGCAAAGGUUUCUAGGCCAAGUAAAUUUUUUAAGACGCUUUAUUUCUAACUGUGCAGGGCGAACUAAAGUCUUUUCGCCGUCAUUAAAGCUGAAAAAUCAGGACGAAUUCUUCUGGAGAGAAGAACAUCAAAGGGCUUUUGAAAGCCUGAAGACAUAUUUAUCAAAUCCACCAGUGUUGGUGUCACCAAUCCAAGGACGGCCAAUGAAAGUGUAUGUAUCGGUUGAAAAAGAAUCAAUAGCUGGAAUGGUCGCACAGGAAAACCAAUUUGGUGAAGAAAGGGCAAUUUACUACUUAAGUAGACGGUUAACGAAAUGUGAAUGUAAUUACUCUGCUAUCAAAAAAUUAUAUCUUGCAUUGUAUUUCACAUGUACAAAAUUAAGAGCUUAUUUACGGCCCAUAACCGUUUAUUUAAUUACUAAAGUAAAUUUAGUCAAGUAUAUAUUCUCGCGCCCUAUUUUACACCAAAGGGUAGGCCUUUAGACACUAUCUCUAUCAGAAUUCGAAAUACAAUAUAUACCUCAAAAGGCAGUCAAAAAUCAGGCUUUGGCUAACUUUCUAGCCGAUCAUCCAUGUCUUGAUAUUCCUGAAGAGAUCGAACUAGAAAUCAAUUCAUUCGAGUUAAAACCUUGGGUGUUGUAUUUCGAUGGAUCAACUAAAGGUGCAGGAGUAGGAGUAGCCUUGAUUAAUCCUUUAGGGAUUUGCUACAAGUUCGCAUUCACUUUAGACAGAAUUUGCACCACCAAUCAAGCCGAAUAUGAAGCCUUAAUUGUAGGCCUAGAACUAAUGAUAGAUAUGGGAGUAAGAAGUGUGAUCGUUAGGGGCGAUUCUCAAUUGGUGAUCCAUCAAUUGAUCGGUGAUUUUAAAUGCCAAAGUGAUUCCAUUAUAAGUCAAUACGAGAUCGCCCAAGAAUUAUUAGAAGAACUCGAUCAAGUAGAACCCCAAUGCAUUAAUAAGAUGUAUAAGGACGUCGCAAAUGAGUUAGCCCAAAUGGCAUCAGGGUACUCAAAGGUUUUGAAUUGGAAGUCUACUUGUGAGUAUGGAAUCAUAUUGCCCGUAACUCAAAGAAGGGCGAGAAAGAUUGAACUCCACUGCAUACAAGAUGGAGAUGCAAUGGAUUGGAGAACAGAGAUUAAAAGUUUCCUUAAAGAACCUAAUGGAGGGAUUAGUAGGAAAAUGAAGCUGUGUUUGCUGAACUAUACACUAAUAGAUGAAGAGUUGUUUAAGAAACGCUCUGAUGGUGUAUUAUUAAAGUGUGUAAGUUUGCAAGAAGCCAGGACGAUCAUGGCUGAGGUGUACGAAAGGAUAUGUGGAGCUCAUCAAGCUGGCCAAAGGAUGAGAUGGUUAAUUAUUAGGAGUGGAUAUUUUUGGCCAAAGAUGGGAGAACUAUGCGUUCAGUAUGCAAAGAGUUGCUUAGCAUGCCAAAAGCAUGGUCCAAUACAAAGGCGCCAGCACGAGAAAUGACACCUAUUAUUAAACUUUGGCCAUUCAAGGGUUGGGCGAUAGACCUGAUAGGGAAGAUUUAUCCCCCAUCGUCCAAGCAACAUCUUUAUGUUAUAGUUGCAACCGACUAUUUCACCAAAUGGGUAGAAGCAGUACCUUUGAAAGAGAUCACCUAGAAAAAUGUUGUAGUGUUCAUCCGUGAUCAUAUUAUUUAUAGGUUUGGAAUUCCACAAACAAUAAUGGUAGAUCACGGAACAUCUUUGAAUGGGGAUCAAGUAAACAAAUUUUUGAGCGAGUUUGGGGUUAAAUUCGUAAACUCCACACCAUACUACGCUCAAUCCAACAGACAAGCGGAAUCUUCUAAUAAAAUUCUAAAAAAUAUCAUCAGAAAGAUGAUAGAUGAAAAUGCCAGAAAUUGGCACAAAUGUCUGAACAAUGCCUUAUGGGCUUAUAGGACAUCACCUCGGUCAAGUACCAAGGUUACUCCUUUCCAACUUAUUUAUGGACAGGAGGCCGUUUUGCCUACGGAAAUCAACGUGCAAUCGAUCAGAGUGUGCUUACAGCAUAAGUUGAAUGAUGAUGAGAAUGUCGAAUCACUAGUUCAAAAUUUAUUGGGGUUAGACGAAUUAAAGUUGGACGUCUUAGAUAGAUUACAAGUGCAAAAACAAAGAAUGGCUAAGUUUUAUAAUAAAAAAGUCAUAGCCAAAUCGUUCAGCCUGGGUGAACUAGUUUGGAAGACAAUACUCCCUUUGAAUAGCAAAGAUCCAAAGUACGGAAAGUGGUCGCCCAAUUGGGAAGGACCAUACAAAAUAAACAGUGUAUUGUCCAAUGGAGCGUAUCACUUGGAAGAUUUAGACGUCACCAAGCACGUGAGAUUCAUUAACGGUAAAUAUUUGAAAAAAUAUGUUCAUUCUUUAUAGGAAUGUGAACAGAUAAAAUCAUAAUCAAAUAUGUUGAACGAUUAAAGGAUAACAAGGUCAGAGCGAAAUACGUUCAAGUGAAGUCCUUUAUUAUCAAACGUUCAUUACAAGAAUACAAAAGUACAAAUAAUGAAUGCUCUACGAAAUACAAUUAAAAGUAAGCUAAUCUCCCGGUUGAUCGCUGAAUAAGCCUCACGCCGCCUUUCUAAAUGCAUCACUGCAAUGGCGAGCAAAGAGGAUGAGAAGCACUCUCGGCAAGCAAGCUGAGAAGCACUCUCAGCAAGCAAAGUGGCUCACAAGUAGCCCAAAAAUUGCCUUCUAUCAUCGACUCCUUGUAAAGGACAAAGAGACGAUGGGAAGAACUUUGAAGGUAAAAACUUCGCUGCUGGCCAGAAAAUAUUUCCUAUACCUCCCACACCAAAGGUGACAUCAAGGUAAAUAGUAAAAUGGGGGGACUAGACAGUCCAUUUUGGGUUGGAUUGAUUGUCAGAAUGCCAAGCAAUGACAGCAAAUUAGUUUCGAAGAAGAAAAUGAAGAUGAAGAUAGAAGAUGGAAAAUGCGAAGCAUUUAUAGGGGGUGGAGACGAAGAGAUAGAAUAUGAACAACCACAUUUUUGCCUAAUAAACAGAAUUAAAUAGCCUAAAGUCUUGGGAAAAGUGGUGGAAAUAUCAAGAGAAAAUGGACAAGAUUCUUAGCACAAAGCAGUUAAAUGCCUAAAGAAUUGACGACUAAAAAAAAACAAACGUCAAAUAAAUGCACAAGAAAUUAAUAUUCAUUAAUGAUGAACAAAGUUACAAAAGGAAAAAUCAAAUUACAAAAGAAAAAAGACAUCAUAUGUCUUAAUUACAAUCCACCCCAUACUGAACGAAUUCGUUCCCUAAGUUUUUCCCAAUCCUCGUUCUGCCGAGAGGAAGUGAUGUUCAAUUCAGCCGCGACAUCAUCAUCAACUUCCAACUUCUUGUACUGCUCGACCAAGGACUUAGUUCGCUCAAAUCCCUGGGAGGCGUUGCGCUUUUUAACAGCCAUUCUCGCCCUGCAGCCGUCCAUUUUGGCUUGAAGUUCCUUCAUCUGAGCAGCCAAAUUAACCAUCAAAGAGUCUUCAACCAUGACUUCGGAAGAGAUUUCUUUCAACUCGUCCUCAGCCUUGUUAAUCUCCAUACGGAAAGACUCUUUCUCAGCUACGGCACGAAGAUAUUGAGUACGUUUGGCCUUUAGUUCAGCAUUCUUGGCCAGCAAAGAAAGGACCUCGGAGUGAAUAACCUUCAACGUCGCUUUAAAAUCGGUAGAAAGAUUGAGCGACGGAAGCGUCAGUGCUUGCUCCAACUUCGCACGCAAGUGCUCAAGUUCAUCCUUGUGUCUGGCAGCACUAGCCCUUCCAAUAUCCAUAUCCAUGAAGGAUACAUACUCAAGUAUUAACUCCUUGAGGAACUUCAAAUCUUCCUCUGAAGAAGCAGCAGGAUGAUCAGAUGGAGCAGGGCGAGACAUCUGGACUUGCCCCCAAGAAGCGAACAAGUCUUGGAUAGAACGCACAAUUUUGUCAGCAUCCUGCAAAGAAAAUUGCCAAUAUUAAAGAUCCUCACUACAUCGAACAAGAUAGAAAUAGAAGUAAAGCAAAGACUACCUCAUCAACAAUCGUAGAAGAUGGCAUGCCCUCAGCCAAGCUUGCCACCAAAGACUCCUCCAUUCCUGAGGACUUCUCCUUAUCUGAGUGAGAAGAUGUUGCCACAAUGGGUGGACUCAUAGGAGUAUCUGCAAAACUCAAGAGCAACAAAUCAGAAACCAACAACACAAGCAAAGGUAAGACAUCAAAAGACUGAAUUACCUUCUGCUUCAAUGUUUGGGGGGUUGACGCCCUGGUAAGAAGGUGGCUCAUCUAUGGGUUGUGAUGAGGACUCUGGGACUGAAAAUGUCUCUUUAAGCGUAGCCCCCUCAUCAACCGGUUUGGAUGAAGUAGCCUCAGCAGAGGAUGAUGAAGCAGGAGCUAUUGAUGCCAAAGCCUUUGAAGGAGAGGCUGAGCUUUUCUGAAAAGUCCAAAAGAUCAUCAGUACACAGAAAAGUUUCAAGUGUGAAAAAGUAUACUUGUGAGUAAACCAAUUUAAUUACCUUCCUUCUGACGAUAAGAGGGGCAUCAUCAUCAUCAUCAUCAUCAUCAUCAUCAUCAUCAUCAUCAUCAUCAUCAUCAUCCUCCAGAAUGGGAGAUGCUGAGGCUGGCCGUUUGCGCCUUGGGGCACUCUUGGCCGUGGUAGGCUUGGCAGGGAGAGAAGAAGAUGGACGAGCAGAUUGUUUAGUGCGACGAGAAGGAGAAGGACUCCGAAUGGACAAGGGAGUGACUAAAAUAGGAGGAGGGGAAGAAAUGCUCGGUUGGUCUAAUGAAUGAAAGGCACGAUUGGCGUCAGUCGUAAAUAAUCUGCGCUUCACUGACGGCCAGAGCUGUUCAAAAAAAGGGUGAAUGGCGUGGCUAGAAUUGAAGGGGCUAAUGAAAAGUGGCUGGUUAAAAGAAGACUACGAGCAUCUAUAGUCUCUGCCUCCGCCUUAGUAAUGGUAUAAAAACUGUCAACUAAGUUCCUUGAAUAGCAAGGAGGAACAGGCCAAGUUUGGCCAAAACCAAGCUGACGAGCAAAAAAUUGGGGAGCAUAAAUCUCUACCCCCGCUUUGGCAUUGAUCCCAGUUAGAAUAUCAUGAAAUAGCUCCCUCCCGGUUAAAAACUGGAUCCAAAUGAGCAGGGAGGUGCUCGCACUAUCUAUAGUGGAAGGGGAUGUACAUAAUGUGGAGUCAAAAAAGGAAGAAAAGGAAAAAAGGAAGGAAUUGAAUCCAAAGAAUAAAAGAAUGAGAAAAUGUCCCUUCUGGACAUAUUUACAGGAGCUAAGAGCUCCAUGGCUAGCCCAUAACAGCUAGCAGAGGAGCGAGAGAUGGUUGGAGCACCAAGCAAUGGAAAAUAGGAUCUUAACCACAGUUGAGUGAAUCAAAGAGGUCCACUGCCAGUGGGAGAUGCCCCAUUCUUCAAUUGAGCUUGAAGAGAGGCCAUGCCUCUAUAAAGGGCAGCUAAAAACAAAGAACAUAAAUUCAAAGGCCUGCCACGCGCCAAUUCGUGCGCUAUAGGUAAAUAACUCAAGGAGGGCUUUAUGCUUGACACGCACAAAACAUAUUUACAAAGCCAAACUAAAAGAAAGGCCACUCGCACAGUAUGGGAAGGCUCGGCGCUCGAAUGAUUGUGAAGGGUCUGCAGGCUUGAAUAAGAAUCGGUGUAGUUUUUACCAAACUUUGGGGUGCCACCAGAAACCAAGAUACCAGGAAAAAUGGUAUCGCCCAAAGGUGGUAGAUUCAUCAGGGCCCCAACAUCCCUUAAGGUAAUAAACAUGGGGCCAAGAGGGAAAAUAAAGGUGUUAUACUCGGGAGACCAAAAACUCAAAGCAAUCGAAAAGAGUGCUGAAUCAAAAGUAGGGGGUGAAUAGAGAUUUCUAACAAAUCAGAAAUCCUAGCGCUAUCAAAAAGUGUCUUAGUAUGACCAUGACCCACAAGGCGAGCACGCCACCUAUGAAAAGCUUCAUCAGAUUUAGGCCAAGUGCGAAUACCUCUUUCGCGAAGUGGCCUUAGCGGCAGAGAGUUUAGAAAAUGAGGGCCAUGAGUGCAAGGAAACAGCUGACCCACCGCUGCCUGUUCAACUGCCUCUGCAUUGUUGAAGAAAGGACCCGGGUAGAACUCAUUACGUUCGACAUUGGCGGGCGCGAGAAAACUUGGAGUUAUGUAUGGGCGACUCAGAAGUUUCUGAAAGUCAUCAAAAUUAAAGGAGUCGCCAGCUUGAAAUUGUGAAGCAGCCAUUUGAGAAGGAACGAAAUUUUUCAAGGUUACGUAGCAGGGAAGUAAGAGAUGAACAGUAAAUCGUGAGAGAGACGCAAAAAAUUUAAGGCGUGGUUUAAUGGUGCAGUGAAAUGGCGUGUUUGGGGUUUAUAAGGGUUUGUAAAACGACGCACCUUUUCAAGUUAUAGAAGAAAACAAUGAUUGAAAUUUUUGAAAAUUUCGAAUAUUGCUGGAAACACAAAGCGAAUAUGGCAAAAUCUAAUAAUUAUUAUUAAUUCUGCCAUAUUGGGGGGGUAAUUGUUGACACAUAAAAAUUCAGCCCAAAUCGAACAGCUCAAGGAGUGAAGCCCAAUUGGAAGAUCUCCAAAUCAGAUAGCCCAAAGAACGAAGCCUAAUCAAACAAAUCAAGAUGAAGGCCCAAAUAAGGAGGCCCAAGAACACGGUAACGCCAUCGCCCAAGUUUGCAAGUCGCCCAGAAUCUGAGCGAAUGGAGUGUCAUACAAUCGCCCAGAGCUGUUACUCUAUUCUCGCCCAAACCUUCAAGUCGCCCAAGGUCUUAACAAACAUAAAGCGUCGUGGUUAUCAAGAAGUGCAGUUAUCAAAGCAGUUAUUAAAGCAGCCCUAUCACGUUCCACGAUUCAAGGAAUUCAAUCGAAAGCGGUUGAACGAUGAAGAGUAAUGACAGCAGUUAAAAAAGGCAAUUUUCAUGACAAGUUGGCCAUUACGAAGAAAGUGGGCAGUUAUAGGACGAUCAAGCAGUUUUUAGGGCGGUUGAUCACAAAGAGAUCGUCCAUGAAGUAUAAAAGGGAGAAAGGACAUAGAAGCAANNNNNNNNNNNNNNNNNNNNNNNNNNNNNNNNNNNNNNNNNNNNNNNNNNNNNNNNNNNNNNNNNNNNNNNNNNNNNNNNNNNNNNNNNNNNNNNNNNNNNNNNNNNNNNNNNNNUUUUCUCAUUAAAAAAUUUUUGUUAAAAAAUUAUAUUUUUUUUUUUUUUUUUUUUUUUUUUUUUUUAACAACACAUUUUCUUAAAAAUUAUUAUUCAAAACAUUGUUUUGACCAAAUAGUGGCCAUCAAACAUGGGAACUUUUUAUCAACAACUCAUGCUUGACCAAAGUUUGGCUCAAUCAGUCAUGAACUUAUUUGAAUUUCACCGUCUGUAGAAAUACUUGAAAGGUAGAUCACCUCACCAACAAAAUUCAAUUCAAUACACUUUCAUAAGGAUGGAAAACCGUAAGUCCUGUCUAUAGUUCACAAUCAAUUACGAGGUUUUCUAUAUUGAAUUAGUGAUUCGGAUAGCAGACACCAUUAUUUCUAUCUUCGGGUUCUACUUGCUCACAAACCAAAAUUUUUUCCUUUGACAGUACUUAAUCAUUCCACCUUUCAGUUUGGCAAAAUAAACUACCACGCAACAUAGAUAAAAAUAGAAAUGCAAGUGACAUUACAAUCACAUAUUAUAGAACUAACCGCAAAUCAGAAAUAUAUUUUACACCCAUAACUUUUCCUUAAUUUUUAACCAUGUAUUUUUCAAAAAAUUACCAUUCUAAAAUAUNCUGAAAAUGUCUCUUUAAGCGUAGCCCCCUCAUCAACCGGUUUGGAUGAAGUAGCCUCAGCAGAGGAUGAUGAAGCAGGAGCUGUUGAUGCCAAAGCCUUUGAAGGAGAAGCUGAGCUUUUCUGAGAAGUCCAAAAGAUCAUCAGCACACAGAAAAGUUUCAAGUGUGAAAAAGUAUACUUGUGAGUAAACCAAUUUAAUUACCUUCCUUUUGACGAUAAGAGGGGCAUCAUCAUCAUCAUCAUCAACAUCAUCCUCCAGAAUGGGAGAUGCUGAGGCUGGCCGUUUGCGGCUUGGGGUACUCUUGGCCGUGGUAGGCUUGGCAGGGAGAGAAGAAGAUGGACGAGCAGAUUGUUUAGUGCGACGAGAAGGAGAAGGACUCCGAAUGGACAAGGGAGUGACUAAAAUAGGAGGAGGGGAAGAAAUGCUCGGUUGGUCUAAUGAAUGAAAGGCACGAUUGGCGUCAGUCGCAAAUAAUCUGCGCUUCACUGACGGCCAGAGCUGUUCAAAAAGAGGGUGAUUGGCGUGGCUAGAAUUGAAAGGGGCUAAUGAAAAGUGGCUGGUUAAAAGAAGAUUACGAGCAUCUAUAGCCUCUGCCUCCGCCUUAGUAAUGGUAUAAAAACGGUCAACUAAGUUCCUUGAAUAGCAAGGAGGAACAUGUCAAGUUUGGCCAAAACCAAGCUGACGAGCAAAAAAUUGGGGAGCAUAAAUCUCUACCCCCGCUUUAGCAUUGGUCCCAGUUAGAAUAUCAUGAAAUAGCUCCCUCCCGUUUAAAAACUGGAUCCAAAUGAGCAGGGAGGUGCUCGCACUAUCUAUAGUGGAAGGGGGAUGUACAUAGUGUGGAGUCAAAAAAUGAGGAAAAGGAAAAAAGGAAGGAAUUGAAUCCAAAGAAUAAAAAAAUGAGAAAAUGUCCCUUCUGGACAUAUUUACAGGAGCUAAGGGCUCCAUCGCUAGCCCAUAACAGCUAGCAGAGGAGCGAGAGAUGGAUGGAGCACCAAGCAAUGGAAAAUAGGAUCUCAACCACAGUUGAGUGAACCAAAGAGGUCCACUGCCAGUGGGAGAUGCACCAUUCUUCAAUUGAGCUUGAAGAGAGGCCAUGCCUCUAUAAAGGGCAGCCAAAAACAAAGAACAUAAAUUCAAAGGCCUGCCACGCGCCAAUUCGUGCGCUAUAGGUAAAUAACUCAAGGAGGGCUUUAUACUUGGCACGCACAAAACAUAUUUACAAAGCCAAACUAAAAGGAAGGCCACUCGCUCAGUAUGGGAAGGCUCAGCGCUAGAAUGAUUGUGAAGGGUCUGCAGGCUUGAAUAAGAAUCGGUGUAGUUUUUACCAAACUUUGGGGUGCCACCAGAAACCAAGACACCAGGAAAAAUGGUAUCGUCCAAAGGUGGUAGAUUCACCAGGGCCCCAACAUCCCUUAAGGUAAUAGACAUGGGGCCAAGAGGGAAAAUAAAGGUGUUAUACUCGGGAGACCAAAAACUCAAAGCAAUCGAAAAGAGUGCUGAAUCAAAAGUAGGGGGGCGAAUAGAGAUUUCUAACAAAUCAAAAAUCCUAGCGCUCUCAAAAAGUGCCUUAGUAGGACCAUGACCCACAAGGCGAGCAGGCCACCUACGAAAAGCUACAUCAGAUUUAGGCCAAGUGCAAAUACCUCUUUCGCGAAGUAGCCCUAGCGGCAGAGAGUUUAGAAAAGGAGGGCCAUGAGUGCAAGGAAACAGCUGACCCACCGCCGCUUGUUCAACUGCCUCUGCAUUGUUGAAGAAAGGACCCAGGUAGAACUCAUUACGUUCGACAUCGGCGGGCGCGAGAAAACUUGGAGUAAUGUAUGGGCGACUCAGAAGUUUCUGAAAGUCAUCAAAACUAAAGGAGUCGCCAGCUUGAGAUUGUGAAGCAGCCAUUUGAGAAGGAACGAAGUUUUUCAGGGUUACGUAGUAGGGAAGCAAGAGAUGAACAGUAAAUCGUGAGAGAGACGCAAAAAAUUUGAGGCGUGGUUUAAUGGUGCAGUGAAAUGGCUUGUUUGGGGUUUAUAAGGGUUUGCAAAACGACGCACCUUUUUAAGUUAUAGAAGAAAACAAUGAUUGAAAUUCUUGAAAAUUUCGAAUAUUGCUGGAAACACAAAGAGAAUAUGGCAAAAUCUAAUAAUUAUUAUUAAUUCUGCCAUAUUGGGGGGUAAUUGUUGACACAUAAAAAUUCAGCUCAAAUCGAACAGCUCAAGGAGUUAAGUCCAAUUGGAAGAUCUCCAAAUCAGAUAACCCAAAGAACGAAGCCCAAUCGAACAAAUCAAGAUGAAGGCCCAAAUAAGGAGGCCUAAGAACACGGUAACGCCAUCGCCCAAGUUUGUAAGUCGCCCAAAAUCUGAACGAAUGGAGUGUCAUACAGUCGCCCAGAGCUGUUACUCUAUUCUCGCCCAAACCUUCAAGUCGCCCAAGGUCUUAACAAACAUAAAGCGUCGUGGUUAUCAAGAAGUGCAGUUAUCAAAGCAGUUAUUAAAGCAGCCCUAUCACGUUCCACGAUUCAAGGAAUUCAAUCGAAAGCGGUUGAACGAUGAAGAGUAAUGGCAGCAGUUAAAAAAGGCAGUUUUCAUGACAAGUUGACCAUUACGAAGAAAGUCGGCGGUUAUAGGACGAUCAAGCAGUUUUUAGGGCGGUUGAUCACAAAGAGAUCGUCCAUGAAGUAUAAAAGGGAGAAAGGACAUAGAAGUAAAGGACCGAAUCAAAAACUCUUGAACAGAGAAUAUGUAAUUUUCAUUUCCUUAGCUUAGACUUAAACACUUUUCUUUCAGUAACUCGUGUGCUUGCGCCCCUUGGAGGCACGUUGUUUUUAAUUUCCAAUUGUAAAGUCAUCGCCAAUAAAAGAACACCCUUUUUGGGACUUUGUCUCAAGAGGUUUGUCCCUUACAAGAUCGUCUGAUCCUUUUUAAUUGUUAGCGACUAACACGCGCGAAACACAACUAAACGGUAAAAUAUAUUGAAAUUCAAUUCUCAAUAAAUGUGAAUCCGUCAAGUUAAGUCACUGCUUGACAACUAUUAUUUUAAAAUUCUUUUUUCUACAUACUCACUUUCAACUAUAUAUUUACCCAUUAAAAAAUUCUGCACAUAAAUACAAUUUUUUUUUUUUAGUUUUAACAACACAUUUUCUUAAAAAUUACUAUUCAAAAUAUUGUUUUGACCAAAUAGUGGCCAUCAAACAUGGGCUAACUAACUUAUCCAAUAAAGAGCUCCAUUUAGAAACUAAAAAGGAUAGAUUGGGAGAGAUCUAACCCAACUUUAUAAAUAUGUAUAAACCUAAAAAACUUUUUAUCAACAACUCAUGCUUGACCAAAGUCUGGCUCAAUCAGUCAUGAACUUAUUUGAAUUUCACCGUCUGUAGAAAUAUUUGAAAGGUAGAUCAACUCACCAACAAAAUUCAAUUCAAUACACUUUCAUAAGGAUGGAAAACCAUAAGUCCUGUCUAUAGUUCACAAUCAAUUACGAGGUUUUCUAUAUUGAAUUAGCGAUUCGGAUAGCAGACACCAUUAUUUCUAUCUUCGGGUUCUACUUGCUCACAAACCAAAAUUUUUUCCUUUGACAGUACUUAAUCAUUCCACCUUUCAGUUUGGUAUUUUUUUUUUUUUUUUUUUUUUGUAUGGGGUUGGAAUGUUACCUAUAAAUGAUUAUCUUCUUUUACUUUGAUCUUCUUGACUUCAAUAUUAGAAUUGAGAAUUUAAUGCCCCCAGGGCAUAUCUCCCAGUGGCAAAGGGGAGGGCGAAUAGGGCUCAGCGCGGCAGUGUGCAGAGUUCGAUUCCCCGCAAGGUGGAAUUGGCUUUGUUGCAAGCGGGAGUUACCAUAUGGGUUAACAGCCUUGGCCUAUCCAUAUGCUCUCCACCCUGGCUCCUGGGAGGCACAUCCUGCGAUUUACCUCCUCCACGAUGGCCCAGGGCAGGGUCGGUGGGGGCCCCUAAGGUUGGGGCUCAACCUUUUUUUUAGAAUUGAGAAUUUAAUCAAUUAAACACAAAACUAUUAAAAAUAAAUUACGAACCAGGCUUCAUGACCUCACCCAAUUGUGAUUUGAUAAGGAGUUGCCUGCCAUCCAAGUACGAUAGGAUGAAGUGAAAUCCACACAAUGUCGUAAGAGUGUGUGAUCCACAAAAAGGUCUUCACUCUUUCUCUUGAAUUUAGGAUGCUUUUUUUUGUUGGAGGACGAAAACUAUGUCUCGGGUGACAGUGUCAGUCUGUAAAGAAAAAAUACACUUUAGCACCCAACAACUUCUACAGACUUGGCAGUAUUGAUCCUACAAAUGAAUCACAAGAUUUAGACAUCACACCACUUUAUCAGCUUCUCUAGGGAAUGUAAUCUUCUGUGAGAUCUGAUAUUGUUCGCUACGUGGACUUUCAAAACUUUCUCUCCCUAAGCAACUUUUUUACUUAUGCACAGUGGGCAUCGAUCUCUAUCAUUAAUAUUUUAUCCAGUUCGCUUGCAUUCAUAUACAAUCAUGCUACAUUUGCUGGAUCAUACUUGGGCCAAACUGCCUAAUGGUAACUUCAUACCAAUUUCUUGACACCCUGAGCACAUCGCUAAAGCUCUAGAUUUUGAUCCUUUUCUACAAACAAGAAAAUGCACAUACACUAAUGAUAAAAGAAAAUGAAAUAUAAAGAGGCAGUUGAGCCAAACACACUUUAACCGCUUGUAAUAAUAGAGCAAGGAACUUAAAAACUUACCCAUUACAAGCCAGGAACAUUUCUUGAUAGAGAGAGCUUUUUGGUAGUCCCAACAUAGACUCUCAAUGGAUGUACAACAUCCUCUCCCAUUCUCUGCCUCCAUCCUCUACUGCUACCACCGCCUAAUUAUUGUCAAAAGAAUUCCCAUCAUGGUAUGUUCUACUUAUAAGGUGAUUCUAUAAAAACUAAUAAAAUAUAAAAAUACGGUCUUAUAUUCUUUAAUUUAACAUAUUAAAUACAAAGUAGCAUAAAAUAUUCCACUUCGUAAUGGGCCCCCAACAAAGAAGGAAAAUGAGAUGUCAAAUAGGUCAUGCAUACCACCGCCACCACCCAUUACUUCCUUGAGUGCAUCUUCUCCGUAAUGGUCAUAGAUCUCACAUUUUUUCGGAUCACUCAAAACCUUAUAUGCAUAGCAAGCUCCUUAAACUGGAAUAAACCUAACUCAUUAGGAUUUGAAGUCCUAUGAUCAAAUUAUGACUAAAAAGGGAUAAUCAGUUGAAUUGAUGCUUCCCUAUGAUUAAUUUUGUACUUAACAGUCAAGGAUUUGGAUGAGCUCUACUAAAUUAUGCAAUACAAAAAAAACAAAAUUAAAACCACUAAAAUCUAAUUGACUUCACUGAGAACUUUGUCUAACUCAACCGAAUUAGACAAGCUCUAUGGGAAUUUCAAAAUUCUGAAUCAACUAGUAAAAGACCACAUUUAUAUUGUAAGACAACUGAUUAUGAGUCAAAUUUUAAGUGCCAUAGCAACAUCAAAGGUAUAAGAAAGUUAGCAAUACUCUAAGAACACUGGAAAAGUUGUUAUUACUACAAUCAUAAAAAAUUAUGCCUUUCUUAUAAAGUAUGUUGAUAUGGAUAUUUAGCUGUGUUGAACCAGUCAAUUUUAACAAACAAUGCAAUAUGACAAAAAUAUUAUGAUAAAUUUACCAAAAUCCAAUAGUAGAGUCACCACUUACUUUUUCCUGUCAAUAUGGGAAAUAUACGUUAUUCUGCCUUCUCAAUAAUCACCUACAUUUCAACAUAACAAAUAUAAUCAUUUUACUUGUUAGUCCAAUUUCCACAUUGUAAUUCUACUUAUGAGUAACUGUUAGCUUAUAGUCAUAAUCAACUUUUUUUAGUCUGCUGAAUAUUCUAAAUUUUAUACAUAGCUUGAAAAGAAAUAAGAUUGUUAAAUUAAAUGGCUGAAUUUUUACCAGAAUCCUAUCAACCCUAAAAGACAACAAGAUUGGAGGAGAAAAUGAAAUUGGUCUGGAUGUAAAAAGGAAGGUUAAUAGAAGACGAGAAUUAUACCCGUUUUGCUACUCGAUUGACUGGAGUAGAAAAUGAAAUUGGCCUGGAUGAAGAGAAAAAGAAGUUUAAUAGAAUGUGAGAACUAUAUACAUACAUACGUACGUACGUACGCACAUGUGUGCGAUGUGUAUGUAAUAGACGGGUAUAAUUAUACCUGUUUUGAGGCUCGAUUGACUAGAGAAGAAAAUGAAAUUGAUCUUGAUGCAAAAAAAGGUCAAUAGAAGGCACGAACUAUGUACGCACGCACGCACACGCACACGCACACAUACAUUGUAUGAUGCGUGUGUGUAAAGAGAGGGGAUCACCUUUCUUCUUUCUCUUAGGGUAUAGUUUGGUUGUGGAAAGAGGAGCAGAUCUAAAAUCAGAGCACAUAUGAAGUGAGUAAGAGAAAGCAAAAGGCACGUUUAUAAGGAAGAUAUUUAGUGAAAAGUAUCCAACCUGUUAAUGAACAGUAAAUAAUCACUUCACAUGCGAAAACGAUAUACUUAAAAAUGAACAGUACUUUCUAAAUUGUCUCUUUUGAAAGAUAGGGAAAUAAAAGAAAUUCCUUCUAUGUUUGGUGGUUUUUCCUUUCGCGUGGGAAUAGUGGCAAAUGGCCUUUUGACUUUUUUGUCCUUCGACCAAUAUUUUCGUUUUCAAAAAAAAAAAAUGCACAAUUAAAAUGUAUUUUUCCUUUUUACCCUUAUGCCCUAAAGUAAAAGGAAGUUGGAUUUUUCAAAUUGAACAACAUCUUUACUGGAAAGACAAAGCAGCAACUAGGAAGAAGAAAAGAAUAUUUUCACUGGAACGGCAUCUUCACUGGAAAGACAAAGCAUCUUCACUGCCAUUUUCAAAUUGAACGGCAUUUUCUCGGGGGACGACAUCAACGGGUAGAAAAGAACAACGAAGAAGAAGACGGCAUCAACGAAAAAAGAACAAAGAAGAAGAAGACGGGAAGAACAACAAAAAGAAUUCUAUUUUGGCUUCAACUCACUUGUUAAGUACUCUACAGUCAAAAAUCUACAAGAAUUACACUUUUUACAGUGAUUUUGGUAAAAUGGAUUUUUGAUUAUUGAGUCAAGAUACAUGUCAGAUUUCCUCUAUUCCUCUACCUUAUUGGCUGUUGUUUAUUGUGAAUUUUAAAAUGUUUCGAUUAUUUUUUGCUGCUUGUUGUUUAUUGGACCAUUGGAGAUUUAAAAUUGAGUUCAUGACACGGGUGUUCAAUGUGUUUUUUCUUUAGAAGUGAUAGGACUACUAGCUUAAUGUAGGAUUAUAAAUCUUCUAGAAAUAAUAGGAUUUUUUCUCAUUUAUAUCACAAAUUCUUGAAAGUAUUGUAAGUGUUAUGCCCUAGAUCCAAUCGAUUUAGGUUGUAAACGCUUUUAAUAUAUUUAAUGCAUUUGAUUUUGGCGAGAUCUAUUAUUUAUUUAAAUUAAUUUUGUAAUAAAUGAUAUUAAAUAAUAGAAUCCGAAGACCCAAUUUUUAGGUAAUCUGUUAAUCACAAGGAGUUGUGAUUGUGAGAUACAAAUUACAUAUAAUUGGAUCUUGAAUAAACCAUGGUCGUAAGUAAUAACGAGAUACGGAUAUCGUUAAUACAGUUAGACCAUCACGUGUGGCAUUUCUUACUUAUGAAGUAAGUAGCUGAUCUCACGAGCUAAAGUGUGGUGACACUUAAAUGAACAUGUGGAUGUUUUGUUGUAGAACAAAACAUUGGAGACCCGCUAAGAGAUUCCACAUGGAUAACUAUCUGAGUGUCAGUGGCUAAUCUCUAACGUUCGGUAGUGGGAUUGAUCCUUUGACUUGAGGUCGUCAUAGUACCCUAUAUGAGGACAGUCAUACUUUGGCGGUGUUGGAUGUUGCUCUGAAAGGGGCGCUAAUACGACAUCGUUCGGGUACGUCAAGAAUCGUAUGAAGGUUGUGAUUGAUCAAUAAAGGAUUCGUCACUCUUAGAUAGUAGGAGAUGAUCUGCGUUUCAUUCAAUUAAGUCGAUGAUGAAAUCCUUGGCCAAGGUGUACUCAUAAGUCGAAAAGGAGUUUUCGAUUUAUAUUGACUUAAUAGUGGAAUGAAAGAUANNNNNNNNNNNNNNNNNNNNNNNNNNNNNNNNNNNNNNNNNNNNNNNNNNNNNNNNNNNNNNNNNNNNNNNNNNNNNNNNNNNNNNNNNNNNNNNNNNNNNNNNNNNNNNNNNNNNNNNNNNNNNNNNNNNNNNNNNNNNNNNNNNNNNNNNNNNNNNNNNNNNNNNNNNNNNNNNNNNNNNNNNNNNNNNNNNNNNNNNNNNNNNNNNNNNNNNNNNNNNNNNNNNNNNNNNNNNNNNNNNNNNNNNNNNNNNNNNNNNNNNNNNNNNNNNNNNNNNNNNNNNNNNNNNNNNNNNNNNNNNNNNNNNNNNNNNNNNNNNNNNNNNNNNNNNNNNNNNNNNNNNNNNNNNNNNNNNNNNNNNNNNNNNNNNNNNNAUUCAUUAUUCUUGCUAGCACAAGAAAGAAACCCUAGCAGUUGCUGUUUUCUCUCUGUGUGGAUUUCAUUGGAGGCUGCACAAUUGGACAGCUGUGGGGGGG
rnacentral:lncRNA from 1 species